UGUUUUUUGUUUUUUGGUUCUGUUUAGGAAUAAAUAAUCCAUAUAGAUUCUGUUUAGAUGUGGUUUUAUCUUUUAAUUAGUGUUUGUGCCAAGUUAAACCUAUUAGAUCUUCUUGGAAGAUAGUUAUUUGAUCUUGCUGUAAUUUCCAGAAUCUUUGCGCUCAGUGCCCGAAUUUUCAAAAAUCACCAGAACGUGAUAAAUAGUGAUUCCAAUUGCUGCUGAUCAAUAAACAAAUUUUCCAGGUCUUGUAAUUUUGGUAGAAUUUUUUGGGUUCCAGAAGUUUGCGUUAGUAACAGAUUACUACAGACUGUUCUGUUUUUGACAGAUUCUGUUUUGCGUGUGUUGUUUGCUUAUUUUGAUGAAUCUAUGCCUAGUAAAAUAGUUUAUAAACCAUAGAGAAGUUGGAAUAAAGUAGGUUUAACACCAAUACAAAUAAAGAACAAGUUCACUACAGUACCUUAAAGUAGUCUUUUGUUUUCUUUCUCUAACGGAGCUCACGAGAUUUCUAUUGAGUUUUGUGUUGUGAAGUUUUCAAGUUUUGGGUGAAUUCUUUUGUUGGAUUAUGGAACAAGGAGUGGAAAGAGCCUAAGCUUGGGGAUGCCCAUGGCACCCCCAAGAUAAUCCAAGGACACCAAAAAGUCAAAGCUUGGGGAUGCCCCGGAAGGCAUCCCCUCUUUCGUCCACUUCCAUCGGUAAUUUACUUGGAGCUAUAUUUUUAUUCACCACAUGAUAUGUGUUUUGCUUGGAGCGUUUUGUAUUAUUUGUGUCUUUGCUUGUUAGUCUACCACAAUCAUCCUUACUGUACACACCUUUUGAGAUAGCCAUGCAUGAAUUGAAAUUUGUUAGAAUACUCUAUGUGCUUCACUUAUAUCUUUUGAGCUUGAUAGUUUACUCUAUGUGCUUCACUUAUAUCUUUUUGAGCGUGAUAAUUUUUGCUCUAGUGCUUCACUUAGAUAUUUUAGAGCACGGUGGUGGUUUGUUUUAAAGAAACUUGAUCUCUCAUGCUUCACUUAGAUUAUUUUGAGAGUUGUUAAUAGCAUGGUAAUUUGCUUAAUGUUAAAAUACUUGGUAUUCAAGAUAUGUGAAACUUUCUUUUUAGUGGGUUGAAUACUAAGAUAAGUUUGAUGCUUGAUAAUUGUUUUGAGAUAUGGAGGUGAUAAUAUCAUAGUCGUGCUAGUUGAGUAGUUGUGAAUUUGAGAAAUACUUGUGUUGAAGUUAGCAAGUCCCGUAGCAUGCACGUAUGGUUAAAGUUGUGUAACAAAUUUGAAGCAUGAAGUGUACCUGGCUUGUGCAUCCUUAUGAGUGGCGGUCGGGGACGAGCGAUGGUCUUUUCCUACCAAUCUAUCCCCCUAGGAGCAUGUGCGUAGUACUUGAUUUUUGAUGACUUCUAAAUUUUUGCAAUAAGUAUAUGAGUUCUUUUGACUAAUGUUGAGUCCAUGGAUUAUACACACUUUUACCUUUCCGCCAUUUGCUAGCUUCUUCGGUACCGUGCAUUGCCCUUUCUCACAUUGAGAGUUGGUGCAUACUUCGCAGGUGCAUCCAAACCCCGUGAUAUGAUACGCUCUUUCACACAUAAACCUCUCUAUAUCUUCCUCAAAACAGCCACCAUACCUACCUAUCAUGGCAUUUCCAUAGCCAUUCCGAGAUAUAUUGCCAUGCAACUUCCAUCAUCAUCAUGACAUGCUUUACUUUUGUCAUAUUGCCAUUGCAUGAUCUUGUAGUUGACAUCGUAUUUGUGGCAAAGCCACCAUGCAUUAUUUUUCAUACAUGUCACUCUUGAUUCAUUGCACCAUCCCGGUACACCGCCGGAGGCAUUCAUAUAGAGUCAUAUCUUGUUCUAGUAUCGAGUUGUAAUCAUUAUGUUGUAAUCAAUAGAAGUGUGAUGAUCAUCAUUAUUAGAGCAUUGCCCAAUCAAAAAAAAGAGAAAGGCCAAAAAGAAAAAAAGAAAGGCCCAAAAAAAGAGAAAAUAAAAAGGGCAAUGCUACUAUCUCUUUUUCCACACUUGUGCUUCAAAGUAGCACCUUGUUCUUCAUGUAGUGAGUCUCAUAUAUUGUGCUUCAAAGUAGCACCAUGAUUUCAUAUAGUGAGUCUCAUAAGUUGUCUUGUUCAUACUAGUGGGAAUUUUUCAUUAUAGAACUUGGCUUGUAUAUUCCAACGAUGGGCUUCCUCAAAAUGCCCUAGGUCUUCAUGAGCAAGCAAGUUGGAUGCACACCCACUAGUUUUCUUUUGUUAAGCAUUCUUAGCUCUAGUGCAUCCGUUGCAUGGCAAUCCCUACUCCUUGCAUUAACAUCACUUGAUGGGCAUCUCCAUAGCUCAUUGAUUAGCCUCGUUGAUGUGAGACUUUCUCCUUUUUUGUCUUCUCCACACAAUCCCCAUCAUCAUAUUCUAUACCACCCAUAGUGCUAUGUCCAUGGCUCGCGCUCAUGUAUUGCGUGAAGGUUGAAAAAGUUUGAGAUUAUUUGAGUAUGAAACAAUUGCUUGGCUUGUCAUCGGGGGUAUAGAAGUUGGGAACAUCUUUGUGUGACGAAAAUGAAGCAUAGCCUAACUAUAUGAUUUUGUAGGGAUGGACUUCCUUUGGCCAUGUUAUUUUGAGAUGACAUAAUUGUUUAAUUAGUAUGCUUGAAGUAUUAUCAUUUUUAUGCCAAUAUGAAAUUUUGUCUUGAACCUUUCGGAUCUGAAUAUUCAUACCAUGAUUAAGAAGAUUUACAUUGAAAUUAUGCCAAAGUAUCACUCCGCAUCAAAAAUUCUCUUUUUAUCAUUUACCUACUCGAUGACGAGCAGGAAUUAAGCUUGGGGAUGCCUGAUACGUCUCCAACGUAUUUAUAAUUUUUGAUUGCUCCAUGCUACUUUAUCUACUGUUUUGGACUAUAUUGGGCUUUAUUUUCCACUUUUAUAUUAUUUUUGGGACUAACCUAUUAACCGGAGGCCCAGCCCAGAAUUGUUGUUUUUUUGCCUAUUUCAGUAUUUCGAGGAAACAGAAUAUCAAACGGAGUCCAAAUGGAAUGAAACCUUCGGGAACGUGAUCUUCUCACCGAACGUGAUCCAGGAGACUUGGACCCUACUCCAAGAAGUUUCCAGGGAGGUCGCGAGGGUGGAGGGCGCCCCCCUGGGCGCGCCCCCUACCUCGUGGGCCCCUCGGAGCUCCACCGAUGUGCUCCUUCCUCCUAUAUAUACCUACGUACCCCCAUUAGACCAGGGGAGCCAAAAACCUAAUUCCACCGCCGCAACUUCCUGUAUCCACGAGAUCCCAUCUUGGGGCCUGUUCCGGAGCUCCACCGGAGAGGGCAUCCAUCACGGAGGGCUUCUACAUCAACACCAUAGCCCUUCCGAUGAAGUGUGAGUAGUUUACUUUAGACCUUCGGGUCCAUAGCUAGUAGCUAAAUGGCUUCUUCUCUCUUUUUAGAUCUCAAUACAAUGUUCUCCCCCUCUCUCGUGGAGAUCUAUUUGAUGUAAUCUUCUUUUUGCGGUGUGUUUGUUGAGACCGAUGAAUUGUGGGUUUAUGAUCCAACUUAUCUAUGAAUAAUAUUUGAAUCUUCUCUGAAUUCUUUUAUGUAUGAUUGAGUUAUCUUUGCAAGUCUCUUCGAAUUAUCCGUUUGGUUUGGCUAACUAGAUUGGUAGUUCUUGCAAUGGGAGAAGUGCUUAGCUUUGGGUUCAAUCUUGCGGUGUCCUUACUCAGUGACAGAAAGAGUUGCAAGGCACGUACUGUAUUGUUGCCAUCGAGGAUAACAAGAUGGGGUAUUUAUCAUAUUGCAUGAAUUUAUUCCUCUACAUCAUGUCAUCUUGCUUAAGGCGUUACUCUGUUUUUAACUUAAUACUCUAGAUGCAUGCUGGAUAGCGGUCGAUGAGUGGAGUAAUAGUAGUAGAUGCAGGCAGGAGUCGGUCUACUUGUCACGGACGUGAUGCCUAUAUACAUGAUCAUACCUAGAUAACCUCAUAACUAUGCUCAAUUCUAUCAAUUGCUCAAUAGUAAUUUGUUCACCCACCGUAGAAUAUCUAUGCUCUUGAGAGAAGCCACUAGUGAAACCUAUGGCCCCCGGGUCUAUUCUCAUCAUAUCAAUCUCCAUUACUUUAUUUUACUUGUUUUGCUUUUACUUUUUACUUUGCAUCUUUAUACCAAAAAUACCAAAAAUAUUAUCUCUAUCAGAUCUCACUCUCGUAAGUGGCCGUGAAGGGAUUGACAACCCCUAAGCGUUGGUUGCGAGUUGCUACCGUUUUGUGCAGGUACGAGGGACUUGUGCGUGACCUCCUACUGGAUUGAUACCUUGGUUCUCAAAAACUGAGGGAAAUACUUAUGCUACUGUGCUGCAUCACCCCCUCCUCUUCGGGGAAAACCAACGCUAGCUCGAGACGUAGCAGAGAGCACCGCUGUCAUUUGCAUUCAUUACUGUUAGUUUACAUUGAGUAUGACUUGACUGGAUCUCUUUUACCUUGAAUUACAAUGUCUAGUCAGUCCUUGAUCUUUAAAGGUGCUUUGCAUUUAUGUUUUGCUGUAUCAGAAAGGGAUAGCGAGAUACCAUCUUGUUAUAUCAUAUUAUGAUUGUUUUGAGAAAGUGUUAUCAUCCGAGAUUUAUUAUUAUUGCUCGCUAGUUGAUUAUGCCAUUGAUAUGAGUAAACAUGAGACCUAUGCGUUAUUGUGAAUAUGGUUAGUUCAUAAUCCUUGUUGAAAACUUGAAUGCUGGCUUUACAUAUUUACAACAACAAGAGCAAACAGAGUUUGUAAAAGUUUUUCUUUAUCACUUUCUGUUUAUCAACUGAAUUGCUUGAGGACAAGCAAAGGUUUAAGCUUGGGGGAGUUGAUACGUCUUCGUCGUAUCUACUUUUCCAAACACUUUUGCCCUUGUUUUGUCUCUAACUUGCAUGAUUUGAAUGGAACUAACCCGGACUCACGCUGUUUUCAGCAGAAUUGCCAUGGUGUUAUUUAUGUGCAGAAACAAAAGUUCUCGGAAUGACCUGAAACUUCACGGAACAUCUAUUCGGAAAUAAUAAAAAAAUCCUUGCAAAAGAUGAAGACCGGGGGGGGCCACCACCUGUCCACGAGGGUGUGGGCGCGCCUGCCCCCCUAGGGCGCGCCCCCCUACCUCAUGGGCCCCCUGGAGCUCCUCCGACCUCAACUCCAACUCUAUAUAUUUGGUUUCGGGGAGAAAAAAUCAGAGAGAAGGAUUCAUCGCGUUUUACGAUACGGAGCCGCCGCCAAGCCCUAAAACCUCUCGGGAGGGCUGAUCUGGAGUCCGUUCGGGGCUCCGGAGAGGGGAAUCUGUCGCCAUCGUCAUCAUCAACCUUCCCCCAUCACCAAUUUCAUGAUGCUCACUGUUGUGCGUGAGUAAUUCCAUCGUAGACUUGCUGGACGGUGAUGGGUUGGAUGAGAUCUAUCAUGUAAUCGAGUUAGUUUUGUUAGGGUUUGAUCCCUAGUAUCCACUAUGUUCUGAGAUUGAUGUUGCUAUGACUUUGCUAUGCUUAAUGCUUGUCACUAGGGCCCGAGUGCCAUGAUUUCAGAUCUGAACCUAUUGUGUUUUCAUCAAUAUAUGAGAGUUCUUGAUCCUAUCUUGCAAGUCUGUAGUCACCUAUUAUGUGUUAUGAUCCAUUAACCCCGAAGUGACAAUAAUCGGGAUACUUACCGGUGAUGACCAUAGUUUGAGGAGUUCAUGUAUUCACUAUGUGGUAAUGCUUUGUUCCGAUACUCUAUUAAAAGGAGGCCUUAAUACCCCUUAGUUUCCGUUAGGAACCCGCUGCCACGGGAGGGUAGGACAAAAGAUGCCAUGCACGUAUGACUAUAUUCCGAAUACAUGCCUAUAUUACAUUGAUGAAUUGGAGCUAGUUCUGUGUCACUGUGGGUGUCAAAACCGGCGGAUCUCGGGUAGGGGGUCCUAAACUGUGCGUCUAAGGCGGAUGGUAACAGGAGGCAGGGGACACGAUGUUUUACCCAGGUUCGGGCCUUCUUGAUGGAGGUAAAACCCUACGUCCUGCUUGAUUUAUUCUUGAUGAUAUGAGUAUUACAAGAGUUGAUCUACCACGAGAUCGGAGAGGCUAAACCCUAGAAGCUAGGCUAUGGUAUGAUUGUCUGUUGUCCUGCGGACUAAAACCCACCGGUUUAUAUAGACACCGGAGGGGGCUAGGGUUACACAAGGUCGGUUACAAAGGAGGAGAUAUACAUAUCCGUAUUGCCUAGCUUGCCUUCCACGCCAAGUAGAGUCCCAUCCGGACACGAGACGAAGUCUUCAAUCUUGUAUCUUCAUAGUCCAACAGUCCGGCCAAAGGAUAUAGUCCGGCUGUCCGGAGACCCCCUAAUCCAGGACUCCCUCAGUACCCCCUGAACCAAGCUUCAAUGACGAUGAGUCCGGCACGCAGUGUUGUCUUCGGCAUUGCAAGGCGGGUUCCUCCUUCGAAUACACCACGGAAGAAUUUUGAAUACAAGGAUAGUGUCUGACCCUGCAAAAUAAGUUCCACAUACCACCAUAGAGAGAAUAAUAUUUCCACAAAUCUAAUCUAUUGACACGUUUUGGCAACAUGACAUUAUGCCAUGGCCUGGUGGUUAUUCGAACCGUUUCCUUUAACUAGCCCCACACAUAACGCGAGGAAGUUUCUUGACACGUCUUUUCAAAGCAGAGAUCGUGUCCCCCUUAUUACGGGAUUCUCAUCAAUACGGUCAUGGGUAACCCAACCACACCUAGGACUCCUAGAUUUUAGGCAAGUCCCAAACGGCCACGAGGAGGACGCUUGAUAUUCACCCUCUUAAUAAAGGGUCAAGGCUUUUACUUUUUUCCUCUCGUGCUCAAUCGAAUCCUUCCCCCGCCACGAGUUCUAACACCCAAAGCCUAGGUUAGGUACUUCGGACCUUCAAUCAUGUCUGAAUCCAGCCUCCAGGGCCGGUGGAUACCCUCCUCCGUCACGGAAGAGGAUAUCAAGAAGUUGAGGGAGGCAAGAUACCUGACCGCCGAAGUCUCACAUCGGCUGCCCACCCGAGGGCAGGUCGUCCCUACUCCUGAACCCAAUGAAGACGUCAUGUUCAUCUCCCACUUCCUCCGAGGACUAGGCCUCACUCUAGAUCCCUUCGUAAGGGGUUUGAUGUUCAAUUACGGGCUUGAUUUCCAUGAUCUAGCCCCGGAUUCCUUUCUCCACAUCUCGGCAUUUAUUGUCGCAUGUGAGGCCUUCCUCCGCAUUACCCCUCACUUCGGCCUGUGGCUCAAGACCUUUGAUGUGAAGCCAAAGAUGGUCAAAGGGCAGUAUGCGGUGUGCGGGGGUGCAUUAAUAAGCAAGAUUGCCGGAGCUCCAUGGCCAAAAGGUUCCUUUCCAGAGGUGUCCAGAUUAUGGCAACGGGAGUGGUUCUACAUCACUGCUCCCAGAAGUGCCAAGUGGGUAGCUUCCCCCGCCUUUUGCUCGGGCCCUCUGCCACAAUGUCAUGGAUCGGCAGGGGGCUGAGCUGGGGUCCAGCCAAGGAUGUGCCCGUAUUGCAGAGCCACAUCCGGGAUCUCUUCGAGGGAGAUUUUAGUUUGGUUAUGGUAGUGCAAGUCAUGCUGGUUCGUCAAGUCCAGCCUUGCAAACGCCGGCCCCUCCGUUUAUGGGAAUUCAACCCAGAAGGGUCGUGCGCUAUUCAGAAUUUCCUUGGCCUGACGCACGAGGAGAUGUACAAGUCGUUCUUCGGACCCCAAAUAGAGUGUCGGGACACUACCGAGGACGUGGGCCUGAGUAGCAACCGCACCGCCGACCAAGUAAGUAAUCCUCUAGCCGAACACACCGUCUUUCAUUUAUCAUGACGUCAUUUUGAGAAAUCACUCUUUGACCAGGACUGGAUAACAAAGGCGAAGAUGAUUUGGUGUUCGGCCCCCCUUCCGGAGGGUUUGGACAAUCCGGUACUGGAAAAGAUGCUCGAGCUAGCGCCUUGCCCGGUGCCCUCAAAGGAAGAUGAAGGGGGGAUAAUGAGGGCGAAAGAGGGCCCCCACCGCUACCAAUUCCAACCAAGGGAAUGAGCGCCUCCGUGAAGGAGGAUAACUAAGGGGAAGAAUCUGACAUUCUCUCGCUCCGUGGAAGGAAGAGGACUGCCUCUGAAGAUCCGGAAACCAAGGCUUCCAAACGGGAGACGAAGUCUCCACCAGAGGGUCCUGCCUCGGAGGGUGCUCUUGCCGCACGAAGUCUGUGUGGGGAUCAGCCCUCUAAUGAGAUGUAAGUAAUCAAAAAGUACUUACUAGUGAAGAUAUUCUACCUUACUUCUAAGGAAGAUAACCGAAGCAUCUAUGUUGCAGUUUGGAUCUGAGCCCUUCUCAGCAGAGCUCGUCUUCGGGGGAUCUUCUUCCGGAGAUGAUGGAGAGCGAAACACCUCCCCGGACUCCCCGGCUCAAGAAGUGGGCGACCUUGAAGUGUCAUCACGGAGAGUUUCUCUGGAUCCGGCAAGGCCAGAAGGUAAUCCCAUGGUCAUCCGAAGCCCUCAGUAUCCGGCUCUUGAAGAGAGCAACCAAAAGAAUUUGGUACCGUCUGGUAAUGCGGUCGGACGCACUGAGGGAUCUGCUAGGGCGAGCCACUAUCUCAGAAGAGCACCGUUCAUUGAUGGGUACGGUGAUUGAAAGGAUUUCGUCCGCCGAAAGUGGGUUGCAUGAAGCCUUUAUGAGUCUACUGACGGGCUUUGAGGUACGUGAAAUGAUAUGUAUCCGCACAUUUUUAGGUGCGCCCUGUGUAGAUAGUAGCCCCUGAGACUCUGGUUGUCGUCGAGAAUGGCGGCGAGCAGAGGAUCGUAGUCCCAGGUAAUAACUAGACUGCCAUUAUGUGCAGGUGUCCGAAGCUCCGGUGGCUAGCCGGACUGAUGGAGUUGCCGAACUAGAACGGACUGGAUGUGGCGGAUGCCGACAUCGAGCUUGUUAACAAGCGGCUUGACGAGGCACAGGAUAGGUGAUAUUUAUAGUGAACAUCACAUAGUAAGAGCAGCGUAAUGCCAGUAUCUUUAAUAUGUUGUGACUACAGAUGGAGCUGCCACUAUGGAGGCCCUGCGGGCGGAGCUUGCCCGAGCCAAGGAGCAAGCAAGGAGUAGUAAUGCGGCCGCUUUGAAGGCGGCCGAAGAGUUGAAAGCCGAGAAGGCCGCUCAUAGCGAGAGCAAAGAGAAAAUGGCCAAAAUGGCUGAUAAGUUAAAAGACACUGCCGACCGCUGCCAGUUUCUUGAAGAAGAAAAUCGGGCGAAGGCUACGGACCUUGAAAAGGCCACAAUGGCGACCAAAGACACCUGCUCUGCAAUGAGAGCGAAGGAGGAACUGCGUGAAGCCGGGGACAUUGUGGCUGGGAAGCCCUUUAUGCUGCGGAGGAAGUUCGGCGAUCCGCGGUAUGCCCCUCUGGAUCGGCUGUGGAGUUCGGUCGACGCAUAUUUGGACUUAGGGGCGAGCGCUGUCGAUGCGGCCGAAUACUUCCGAGAUCAGACAGACCAUGAAGUGGACAAGUUGUUCUAGUCGCAAUUUAAUGUUCCAGAGCGUCCGCUUCCCUUGACUGAUCAGCUUACCGAAUGGGCUGAACUCAAUAGAUUGUCCGGACUCGCCAUGAGGUCUGUCGUGGAUCAUCUGUGGUCGGAAAGGCCAAAGCCGAACAACUAAUUUAGCUUGGUCCAACAGUUCCUUGGUGUGGUGCCACGCAUUAAUGCGAUGAAGAGGUCGGCGUGCAUAGAAGGCUCGCGGAUGGCCCUUGCCCGUGUCAAAACAUACUGGGCGGAGAUGGAUGCCACCACUAUCGCGGCGUAGGGUUCGGCCAUAGGCCGAGUGGCUGCCGAGCACUAUUUUGAAGAAGUUAUUGAGGGCGCUCGUACGAUAGAGGCCCGGUGCUCGAAGAAUGUUAUGUUUGAGUGACAUGUAUUCUCAUUGUGAAAACAACGUUUUAUUGAAUUUAUCAAGGCUGUAUUUAUACUUUUGACCGAAAGUAUUGUGAUGCCUCCUGUGCGGCCGUUUAUGUAUACAUGUAUAUAACCUGAAAGAUUGCAGUCGUCGGCUUCAGCCCCCACGCACAUAAUGCGGGGGUGUUCGCAGAAGACGCGUAUUCACACUUAAUUCAACGUCUUGGCCCUAAUAAGGAGGUGAUAGCGCAGCGAACUAGGCAACCGGACUAUAAUGCUUUAACACUUUCACUUAGCCAUAGGAGUUUGACAGUGGGGCUACUAUAUAGCCCCUGGUGGCUCCGCACUCGUCCGGAUUCGGGGUGCAUACAUGCCUGGCCGGGAAACAACCCUUCGUUAAUGCGGAGGAAUCCCGAAGAUUCCAAUAGGUCAUUGAGUGGUUGACCAGUCUCAUGCUAUAUCAUGACAGUCAGUUUUCGGCUUUCUCUACUGAGGUGCUCGUCCGGAUGAACCAGGGCACAAUCGCAGUAGUUCUCCUGGUGCCGCCUUAGCCGAUAAAACAGAACGUAAGGUAGCAAAACAUAGGAGCCGGGAAAACCCAACAUUUGACCCAAGACAUGAUUCGGAGCUGAUGCAUAUAAGGCCAAACUCGCGACGCCGAACACUCCCUAAGGUAUUCGGUAUUUAUGGUGUAAACCGGGUAUAAACAGUACCCUUGGUAAUAAGCCCCUGGUGUCCAGGUACGUGCAUUAUUCUGGCAUGGCCACAUGCCAAGACAUCAGCAUCCUUCUCGGUUGUACUGAGAAUCCGAGGGAUGUAAAUCAACAAGAGACAGUAAAAAAGGUUUAUGCAGGGUCUUAAUCUACAAAGAAUCCUUGGAACGGGUCCCUGCUGCACGUCUGCGCCUGUGUCUCUGUUGUGUCGUAUCCUGGACGGGUGUAGCACGAUGGUCAUCUGAAAAAGAGAGGAACUUAAUUGAAAAGUCGUCGUGCAAAAGUUAAGUUAUACUAAAUAAAUAAUAUAUAGUUGAAAAAUGAGUAAAAGUGAGCCUUAUUGCCACUUUAGCGCGCGCGUUGAGCCCCUUGUAUUGUAAUAGGGGUAUAGCCAUCAAACCUGUAUUAAUUACAUAUAGCUAAGCCGGACUCGUCUAGCCGUGUCCGUGGUCUUUACGACCUAUCAAAUGCUUGAGUUGGUGAGGUCGUUUAGUGUGCGGCGGUCAAGGCGGCCGCACCGUCUUCGGCGCGCAAGGAGCGCUCAAUAUUUCCAUUUACUGUAAUGAUGCCGCGUGGACCGGGCAUCUUGAGCUUGAGGGCAGCGUAAUGCGGUAUUGUGUUAAAGCGAGCGAAAGCUUCGCGUCCGAGUAGUGCUUGAUAGCCACUUUGGAACGGAGCGACGUGGAAAGUUAAGUUUUCGUUGCAGAAAAUGUUGGGGAAGCCGAAUAUAACCUCUAGUAGCAGGGAGCCCCUGCAGUGAGCCUCCGGGCCUGGCGUUACUCCUUUAAAGGUAGCAUUGCUGCGGUAAAUUUUUGUUGGGUCUAUCCCCAUCUUGCGGACUGUGUCCUGAUAUAUCAGAUUUAAACUGCUGCCGCCGUCCAUCAGGACUCGGGUGAAGUGGUAUCCGUCAAUUAUUGGAUCUAAUACCAAGGCAGCCCAUCCUGCACGCCGGAUACUUGCCUAGUAAUCCCGAUGGCCGAAGGUGAUCGGUUGGGACGACCAGUGGCGGAGCUCCGCGGUGAUAGGCCCUGGGGCAUGUUCCUCUAAAGGUGCCGCUUUGUCUCUCCCUUUUAUCACGUGUAACACGUUGACUGUUUUGACUUCUAGUGGGAAUUUCUUCUGUUCCCCUGUGCUUUGCUUGCGAGGCUCGUCCUCGUCUUCACUUGGUGUAUCGUACCCCUUGUGUUCGCCGUUGAGCUUGCCGGACUGUUUGAAGACCCAACAUUCUCUAUGGGUAUGAUUUGCAGAUUUAUCAGGGGUGCUAUGGAUCUAACAUAUUUGGUCCAGAAUUUUGUUUAGGCUGGACAAUUCGUCUCUGUUGCCUUUGGAGGGCGGCUUCUGCUUCCCUGGCCGAGAGCUUGUAAAUCCAGCGUUUACCGCCGUGCUCUUCGGAUUGUCUUAUUUAUUCCGGCGCUUACUAUUUUUGCUGCGUCGUGAUUUCUCGUUUCCAUCUCUAACUUCGGAUGUACUUGGGUCACUGGUGCUGCAUCGGGCUAGCCAGCUGUCCUCGCCCGCGCAAAAGCGGGUCAUGAGGCUUGUUAAUGCUACCAUUGUUCUCGGCUUUUCUUGGUCGAGGUGACUGGCAAGCCAUUCGUCUCGGACGCUGUGCUUAAAAGCUGCCAAGGCUUCGGCGUCCGGACAGUCGACUACUUGGUUCUUUUUAGUAAGAAACCUGUUCCAAAGCUUUCGGGCUGACUCUCUGGGUUGUUGACUUAUAUGACUUAAAUCAUCCGCAUCUGGAGGUCGAACAUAAGUCCCUUGAAAAUUUGCCUGAAAAGCGUCUUCGAGCUCUUCCCAGCUUCCAAUGGAGCUUUCGGGGAGGCUUUUAAGCCAGUGCCGAGCUGGCCCUUUGAGCUUGAGGGGUAAGUAUUUGAUGGCGUGGAGAUCAUCCCCUCGAGCCAUGUGGAUAUGGAGGAUAUAGUCCUCGAUCCAGACCCCAGGGUCUGUUGUUCCGUCGUAUGCCUCUAUGUUUACGGGUUUGGAUCCCUCUGUAAAUUCAUGGUCCAGCACCUCGUCGGUGAAACAUAGGGGGUGUGUGGCACCCCUGUAUCUGGGUGUACCGUGGUGUUCGCAUGUUUGUUGUGUUGCAUCGUAUGGUGGAGCGCGCUUGCUGGUCCAUAGAUGGAUCUGGUUGCGCCAUCCUUUUGAUGCGGGCCCUUACGUGGAUCACGUACUGGUUUAUGUGCGGCAUCGAUUGCCGCUUUAUGUUGGCUAUGAGGUCGUCUAUCCGACCGUAUGGCCAUUUUAUUUUUUAAUUGUGGAGGAUCUAAGGCCUCCUCAUCAAAUUCAGGUAGCAACUUUCUCUUUGGAUAGCUCUUGGUGUGGCGAUUACUGCCGUAUUUCACUGCAGUGUUGAGUACUUCACUCCAUUUGAUUUUGAGAGUGUCUUGUGCAGCCUUGAGCCUUUGCUUCUGUUUUUUCAGACUCCUCGCCGUGGCAACAAGCCUUUGGUGGGCAUUAUGUUGCUCCUGGCGCCUAUCCGGUGUGAUGUCAUCCGGACUGUUAUCUUCGACGGGGUUGGGUUGUUCGGCUUGAUUUUCUGCGUUGCCAUGGUCGGGCAAUGGUUCACCCUGCUCUAAUGUUGGGUCUAUGUGAUCGUUAUUUUUGCCGAGGCGGGAUUUGGAACGGCGUGUACGCCGCCGCUUUAACUGCUUCUCAAGGGAACAACCCUUCGCCGCGUCCUUCCGUUCCUCGUCAUUAUUUUCUUUAGGUGUGUCCACCAUGUAUACGUCAUGUGAUGAAGUGGGUGUCCAGUGCCCUGUGGGCAGUGGUUCCUCUUCGCCUCCCGCAUCGUCGCCAUUGCAUCGAUGUCUUCGGAGUCGAAGUCGAGCAUGUCGGUUAAAUCAUCGACAGUGGCUACUAAGUGGGUGGUGGGUGGGCGACGAAUUUCUUCGUCAUCCGCAUCCCAAUCCCGCCGGACGUAGUUCGGCCAGGACUCUCCUGACAAGGAGAGAGACCUUAAUGAGUUCAGUAUGUCGCCGAAGGGCGAGUGCUGAAAAAUAUCCGCGAGGUAAACUCCAUGAUCGGCGCCCAAUCGGAUUUGAUAGGAACGGGCGCAGGCGGUUCGGAGUCCGUGGCCGGAGAAGGAUCCGGUAGUUUGGCAACAUGGCUAUCGUGAAGGGUAAGGUCGAUAUUCGGCUCGAUCGCCGCAGAGGAUACGGCCUCCGUGGCGGGGUCUUUCCACCCGUCCACGGAUAGCGAAACCGGCUCCGAAUUGAGGGUCGGAGCGGCUCCCGGUGCGAUUUCUCGAACACUGUCCGAUGGUAGAGCUAAAUCAUAGUCAUCGUGACCGCACGACGCACAAGGCAGGGGCUCGAAUCUGUCGAAGAUCAAGUCUCCGUGGAUAUCGCCGUGUAGUUUAAGCUUCCAAGCCUGGCCUGGUGGCCAGGGGCGUAACUUUUGAUCUGCUCCAGAUGGCCAAGCGAGUUGGCCCGCAGUGCGAAGUUGCCGAACACAAAGAUCUGUCCGGGGAGAAAAGUCUCGCCCUGGACUGCAUCGCUAUCGAUGAUUGUAGGAGCCAUCAAGACUAAUGGCGAUGACACAGAGGAACUCUCAAUGAAAGCACCAAUGUCGGUGUCAAAACUGACGGAUCUCGGGUAGGGAGUCCCGAACUAUGUGUCUAAGGCGGAUGGUAACAGGAGGCAGGGGACACGAUGUUUUACCCAGGUUCGGGCCCUCUUGAUGGAGGUAAAACCCUACGUCCUGCUUGAUUUAUUUUUGAUGAUAUGAGUAUUACAAGAGUUGAUCUACCACGAGAUCGGAGAGGCUAAACCAUAGAAGCUAGCCUAUGGUAUGAUUGUAUGUUGUCCUACGGACUAAAACCCUCCGGUUUAUAUAGACACCGGAGGGGGCUAGGGUUACACAAGGUCGGUUACAAAGGAGGAGAUAUACAUAUCCGUAUUGCCUAGCUUGCCUUCCACGCCAAGUAGAGUCCCAUCCGGACACGAGACGAAGUCUUCAAUCUUGUAUCUUCAUAGUCCAACAGUCCGGCCAAAGGAUAUAGUCUGGCUGUCCGGAGACCCCCUAAUCCAGGACUCCCUCGGUCACCCUAGGUUAUGACUGUUACAUGAUGAACCGCAUCUGGCAUAAUUCUCCAUCACCGAUCCAUUGCCUACGAGCUUUCCAUAUACUUUUCUUCGCUUAUUUACUUUUAUGUUGCUAUUGCUAUCAUCACUACAAUAUACCAAAAACAUUACUUUUGCUACCAUUACCUUUUGUUACUGCUACCACUACUAUCAUAUUACUUUGCUACUAAACACUUUGCUGCAGAUAUUAAGUUUCCAGGUGUGGUUGAAUUGACAGCUCAGCUGUCAAUACUUGAGAAUAUUCUUUGGCUCCUCUUGUGUCGAAUCAAUAAAUUUGGGUUGAAUACUCUACCCUCGAAAACUGCUGUGAUCCCCUAUACUUGUGGGUUAUCAAUACCCCAAGACAAAGUUUGUUCCUCAACAAGAGAAGUGUGAUUCUACUUCUUUCCAAGGAACACAAGCUCAAGAUGAUCUUCCACCACAAGACCAGAAGAAAAAAAGGCAAGGACAAGCUUUAAGAGGAGAUUGAUGCAUUUGAAUAAGCUCCCAAAGCCUUGGUCAAGUGGGUUCCCAAGACUACAUCAAGUUCAACUUCAUCAAGUACGACUACAACUCCAAGGAUUCCCAUCAAGAUGGUGUGGAUCCCGAAGAAAAAUAACUAGAGAGUUCUUGAGGGUGACUCCGCCAACACACUUCACUCAUAUCUUUUGGCAAGGACACGUGCAAACAACUUCCAUAUCUUGCACUAGUUCAAGGAGUCACAAACCCUGUUGUUGAUAAGACAAGGGACAAGGUAACCUAAUGCUUUCAUGGACAUCAUCUUAUGUGAACAUCACUCUAUGUCUAUGGAUAUCCUUGUUUGUUCCUUGUGGGACUAACCCGUGUAGGUAUUGAAAGUGCAACUCACUCUAAUGGAUUGCUCCAAAUGAUCUACAUCAACAUUGAGCAUCUGCAUCUUCAACACCUACAUGAAGUCAUCAUCGACAAAACCCAAGGUUAGUCCAUCCCUCUUAGGGGGGGAUAUCACAUCUAGGGGAGCUUUACUCUAAUCAAUUGAGCUAAAUCAACUCUAAUGGUGUGAACACAACAAUGCUUUAUGUAAAAGUGGCAACCCCACUUAUGCUUAAAUGAUGAGUAUGACCUGCGAUCAAAUGUUCUUAUUUGACUCCUCAGUCAAUAUACUCAUAUAUAGAUGACCUAGUCAUCGCCAAUUGCUUGAUAGAUGCUAGAGUGUUUGUGCAUGCUCUGCCACAUAUUUCAUUUGCCAUUUUAUUGUGUGAGCAUGUUGGUUGCAUAUUUUACUCAUUCAAGGACAUCCACUUGUUGUUUUGAUUGCUUGGCAUUUUUCUCUUUUGCCAAGUGGAUGAACAAGAAUUCCUAAGAACCUCCUCUAGCUAUCUAUGUUUUUCUCGUCUCAAAUUCUAUUUAUGCUACAUCACAAAGUUUGAUCAAGUCAGAUUCGAACCACUCUGUGUGAGGAGCACUCGGAGUCCCCGAUUCGCCAUAGACUUCAACUUUCAAAACCUCUUUGUGCAUUUCGGUAUGACCGAGUCAUACACUUCAGUCACACCGAGUUCACCAAGUUGAUCUAGGUUUUCCAUCUCGGUGCAACCGAUUUGAACUUUUCAGUCACACCGAGUUGCAGUAACCGCUCGCGAUUCUGCAUCUCGGUGCCACCGAGUUGUUCCACUCGGUCACAUCGACAGGAUCGGGAUAUAUAUACCGACGGGUUGAAUUUUGGAAAUUUCUCCAAAACCCUUCACCCCGCGCGUGUCUUGCUCUGCCUCCUCGGGUCUCCGGAUCGUCUCCUCGCCACCAACGACCUCCCGCCACUGGUCUCUGUCGCCGUCAACGGAAUUCUGCUCCGCCGUUUUCACCGUAGGGAACUCCCGUCGAACUAGGGUAUGAGUUCGACUCUUUAUGCUAUUUCCCAACUCUGAUUCAUAGCACAUUACUUUGCCAUGAUCAUGACCAUGCAUGCAAACAAUCCAUCCAUUGAAAACUUCCUUUAGAUUAGAUUGGAUUUGAAAAUUUAGGGUUAGUUCUCCACCGGACUCAUCUCGGACCGACGGAAUUGUAGAAAUCAGUCUCACCGAUUUGGCCUAGGCCAUAGCACAUGCAUUUUCGGUCUGACCGAAAAUUGCAAAUCGGUGUGACCGAGUUCGAUUCUCUAUGAAACCCUAGCAGUCUCGGUGCCAUCGAACUGUGACUCGGUCUGACCGAGUUCACUAGUUUAGGUUCCAAAAGCUGCUUCGGUAUCACCGAGUUUAUCAAAUCGGUAGCUCCGAAAUGCUUUCUGUGGAGAACUAAAACUAAAUUUUUAAGUCAUCUGUUUUGCAAAAACUCUGGACUUUGUGAUGCUCAUCCUCUACCUCAUCUACAUCUAUUCACAGGGUUUGCUGUUAGUGAUUGCCAAGAUGUCUGACCAGAGUGACAGUCAGAACAAACCUGAGGAACAUGUGCAAUUGAGUGAGGGCUCAGAUCCAUCAAGCACCUCAGAUGAUGGCAGCAGAAGCACUCCUAGUAACUUACCAAAGGCAGCCACCAGGACAAGGAAGAAGAAAACCUCAAACUCUAAGGAUGAAGACUAUGUGACUGUUGAUGAUGAGGCCACCUCAAAGAAGAAAUUGUUGAAGAAGGAGUAUGGCUCAGUUGCUACAACAAAUCCAGGGAUGCACAAGAAGGCACCUGCCAAGAGAAUGCCAACAUCCAAGCCUAGGAAAGCAGCCUUGGAAGAAACUACAGAGUUCACUCUUGAACCCAAAGAGGUUGGAGAAGGCAAGAAGAGAAAGGAGAGGGUCAAGAAGACCACUGCCAGAGUUCUAGGGAGAUCAUCCAUGUUCAAGGAUCCCGCAGAAGAAGAGAAAGAGGAAGAGGAUGCUCCAGCACCCAAAGCUCAGAAGCUUAUGGGAGAUGCAAUUAAGUCAGGGGCUGCAACAUCAAAGCCCAAGUCUGCUCCCAAAGCUCAAGCUCAGAAGUCAAAGCCCAAGAGAAACACUAGAAGUAUUGCUGCAGAAGAGAAGAAUAAGGCACAGUGCCUCAAGCUGAAGAAGAGGAUGAUGAGUCUCUUGUUUUGAGGAAAUUGAAACCCAAGAUCCCAGACCACAAUCAUACUCAUCUAGUGGCUGAAGACAUGCACAUCAGAAAAGAUGCUGGACUAAGAUUGUGGAGACAGUCUGAUCCCUAUGCUGUGAGGAGAAGGACUGUAGUUGACUACAGAUUCCACACAAAAGAACAGCAAGACUUCUAUGAAACUAUUUUGCUUUACAAGAAUCCCAUUGUUUGUGACAUGAGAUGGGUUGAUUGGGAAUUCAUCAAGGAAAAUGAAGAUCACUUCCCAGGAGUAUAUGACAGCUUCAAAGCAUGUGGAGUAGAUGAGUUUGUUGGAUAGAAGCUCACAAAAUGGAACGAUGAGCUGAUCAUGCAAUUUUACUCCACUGCUCACUUUUACCCAGAUGGGAAGAUCAUAUGCAUGUCUGAAGGUACUAGGUACCAAUCCACUGUUGAAGAAUGGGCCAAGCUGAUCAAUGCCCUAGAGGAACAUGAGGAUGACUUGGAUGUGUAUGCCAAGAAGAAGAAAGACCACAACUCCAUGGCAAACAUGUACAAAGAGAUUCCUUAUAAAGUUUUGGAGACUCACAAGCUUGAAUAUGUACAUUACUUCUUGUCUGGUCUGCCUACCAUCAAUUGGAUCCUAAGGCACACAUUGCUACCCAAGUCAGGAGAUCACAAGAUGAUCAGAGGACAUUCCAUCAACAUGCUGCAAAUCUUUGAUGUCCCUCAGAAGUUCAAGGUCAUGAGUUUGAUUGUAGAGACAAUCAAGAGGACUGAUGCUGAUCAAAAGAGAAGUUGUGGGUAUGCUCCACAUAUUCAGGAGCUCAUCAGUUCUAAGAUGGGCACAUGAACAUACUUGUUGGACAAGGAGCAUCUAUCCCUUUAUCCUGAAUUUGAAGACAACACAGUUUUGAUGAAUAAGGAGGAACCAUCUUCACCACAAGCACAAGAGAAGAGAGCCAAAGCUAAGGCAGAGAAAACUGCAAGGAUGCCAAGUGCAGAAGAAGCAUCUCAGGUGUUCCUCAAGUCAAAACAAGAUCAAUUAGGCUAUCUGAUUCAAGCUACACUAAGGAUUGAGAAGGGCUUGGCCACCCUGACUCAGAAUCAGGAGAGCCUGGAGAGGAUUGUUGAGACAAAAUUCUAUGAUCUUGACCUCAAGGUAACUGAGAUAUGGACUGCAGUUGAGCAGCUCCAGGAGGAAGUAGAAGAGAGAAGAGGGAAGGCAACUACUGAUGCUUUUCAGCGUGUGCCACGAGGUCAGAGGUCUGCCGCAGUGCCAGUACCAGUCUCUAGAACUACUCUAUCAGCAGCAGCAGCAGCAGCCUCAGUACCACCUCCAGCAGCCACUCCACCAGCUCCAACUACAUCGACAGAUGCCUUCGUCCUUGGAGUUCUCUCUACACCACCUCCCGAAAACCGAGCUUGAGAGACGCAUAGCACUAUGCAUUUUCAAACUUUUUGGUAACUUGUUGCCAAAGGGGGAGAAAUAUGUAUAGAUCAUAGGCUUCGAGAGAGAGAGAGAGAGAGUGUUGCUUUUUAUCUCUCUUGUUUUUGGUUGAACCUUUUUAUGCGCUUGGUUGAUACACUAUGUCUUUGUCUAUGUGAGAUACUUGUUUGAUCAUGUGUUUGAUCAUAUGCUACCUUAAUGCUUGCUUGGAUGAUAUCAUCUCUUAUAUUCUUAUAUGAUCAUUCACUUUGCAUGGUGAUGAGUGCAUGCUUUUAAGUUAUAUCAUUUUGAGCACUCCACCAAGAUGUAUGUGAAAUGGAAGAGUAAUAACCCAUGAUCCUAAUCGAUUGUGCAUUUGCAUUCAAAAGCAAAUUUUAAAUAAUUCACAAAUUUAGGGGGAGCUCUUGCUUAUCACAUACUUCUCAUAGUGACGAUGUAUUUCAAUCUUAUAAUCAUUUGUCGAAGCUUUGAUCUAUAUGUUAAUUCCUAAUAAGGACAAAAGAUUGAAAGUGCAACUAUCCCUGGGUGGAUUUGGUAAUUCCUAAUAACAUAUAGCUCAUUGAGCUAAUACUAUUUCAAGAUAAAUAUUUCAAGAAAGCUCAAUGAUUGACAUGGCAUGGAUUAGAAAUGUGGACCCCUCAAAAUGCUAAGGACAAAAGAUUGGCUCAAGCUCUAAAGCUCAAUACUCUACAUUUUACCUUUUAGUGAUCCAAGAUCACAUUGAGUCCAUAGGAAAAGCCAAUACUAUUAAAAGGGGAUGAGGUGUUGCUUAAUGGGUUACUUGCUCAAAAUGCUUAGUGAUAUGCUCUGAAACCCUCAACCACUUUCUCAUAUCCACAUAUGUCCCAAACCAAAAGUCAAACUCGGCCCCACCGAAACUUUCCAUCCGGCGCCACCGAGUUCAGUUGACAUAGCCACUGCCACAAAACCCUAGUCUUUUCGGUCUCACCGAUAGGGAUCUCGGUCUCACCAAGAUGAGAUUGCAAACUCUCUGUUUCCCUUCGUAACAUUUUGGUCUAACCGAGAUGAGCGAUCGGUCACACCGAGUUCACAAUGCAAACUCUCGGUUUCCCCUUCGUAACAUUUCGGUCCAACCGAGAUGAGCGAAUCGGUCCCACCGAGUUUGCCUGACAAACUCUCUGGUUAGCUUAUUACCAAAAUCGGUCCCACCAAGUUUGUGUAAUCGGCCUCAUCGAGAUUAGUUAUGCCCUAACCCUGAUGAAAUCGGUCCCACCGAGUUGACGUGUCGGUCCCACCGAAAAUCCUAACGUUCACAUUUUGAACUGAAUCCGUCCGACCAAGUUUCAUGAUUCGGUCUCACCGAGUUUGGUCAAUUGUGUGUAACGGUUAGAUUUUGUGUGGAGGCUAUAUAUACCCCUCCACCCACUCUUCAUUAAUGGAGAGAGCCAUUAGAACAUGCCUACACUUCUAACUUACAUUUUCUAAGAGAGAACCACCUACACUUGUGUUGAGGUCAAGAUAUUCCACUCCAACCACAUAAAUCUUAAUCUCUAGCCAUCUCCAAGUUGCUUUCCACUCAAAUCAUCUUUCCACCAAAUCCAAAUCAGUGAGAGAGAGUUGAGUGUUGGGGAGACUAUCAUUUGAAGCACAAGAGCAAGCAGUUCAUCAUCAACACACCAUCUAUUACCUUUUGGAGAGUGAUACGUCUCCAACGUAUCUACAAUUUUUGAUUGUUCCAUGCUAUUAUAUUAUCAACCUUGGAUGUUUUUAUAUGCUUUUAUAUGCUAUUUUAUAUGAUUUUGGGACUAACCUAUUAACCUAGAGCCCAGUGCCAGUUUCUAUUUUUUCCUUGUUUGAGAGUAUCGCAGAAAAGGAAAAUCAAACGGAGUCCAAUUGACCUGAAACUUCAUGGAACUUAUUUUUGGACCAGAAGAAGCCCACGAAGUAUCGGAGAUGGACCAGGAGAGUCCCGGGCUGCCCACGAGGGUGGGGGCGCGCCCCCCCCCCCCCCCCCCUGGCGCGCCCCCUGCCUCGUGGACAGCCUGGAGAUCCACCGACGUACUUCUUCCUCCUAUAUAUACCCAUAUACCCUAAAAAAUUCAAGGAGCAGAAUAGAUCGGGAGUUCCGCUGCCAGAAGCCUCCGUAGCCACUGAAAACCAAUCUAGACCCAUUCCGGCACUCUGCCGGAGGGGGAAUCCCUCUCCGGUGGCCAUCUUCAUCAUCCCGGCGCUCUCCAUGACGAGGAGGGAGUAGUUCUCCCUUAGGGCUGAGGGUAUGUACCAGUAGCUAUGUGUUUGAUCUCCUCUCUUUCUCGUGUUCUUGAGGUGGUACGAUCUUGAUGUAUCGCGAACUUUGCUAUUAUAGUUGGAUCUUAUGAUGUUCCCCCCCCCCCUCUACUCUCUUGUAAUGGAUUGAUUUUUCCCUUUGAAGUUAUCUUAUCGGAUUGAGUCUUUAAGGAUUUGAGAACACUUGAUGUAUGUCUUGUCGUGCUUAUCUGUGGUGACAAUGGGAUAUCACGUGAUCCACUUGAUGUAUGUGUUGGUGAUCAACUUGCGGGUUCCGCCCAUGAACCUAUGCAUAGGGGUUGGCACACGUUUUCGUCUUGACUCUCUGGUAGAAUCUUUGGGGCACUCUUUGAAGUACUUUGUGUUGGUUUGAAUAGAUGAAUCUAAGAUUGUGUGAUGCAUAUCGUAUAAUCAUACCCACGGAUACUUGAGGUGACAUUGGAGUAUCUAGGUGACAUUAGGGUUUUGGUUGAUUUGUGUCUUAAGGUGUUAUUCUAGUAUGAACUCUAUGAUAGAUUGAACGGAAAGAAUAGCUUCAUGUUAUUUUACUACGGACUCUUGAAUAGAUCGAUCAGAAAGGAUAACUUUGAGGUGGUUUCGUACCCUACCAUAAUCUCUUUGUUUGUUCUCCGCUAUUAGUGACUUUGGAGUGACUCUUUGUUGCAUGUUGAGGGAUAGUUAUAUGAUCCAAUUAUGUUAUUAUUGUUGAGGGAACUUACACUAGCGAAAGUAUGAACCCUAGGCCUUGUUUCAACACAUUGCAAUACCGUUUACGCUCACUUUUAUCAUUAGUUACCUUGCUGUUUUUAUAUUUUCAGAUUACAAAUACCCAUAUCUACUAUCCAUAUACCACUUGUAUCACCAUCUCUUCGACGAACUAGUGCACCUAUACAAUUUACCAUUGUAUUGGGUGUGUUGGGGACACAAGAGACUCUUUGUUAUUUGGUUGCAGGGUUGCUUGAGAGAGACCAUCUUCAUCAUGUGCCUCCUACGGAUUGAUAAACCUUAGGUUAUCCACUUGAGGGAAAUUUGCUACUGUCCUACAAACCUCUGCACUUGGAGGCCCAACAACGUCUACAAGAAGAAGGUUGUGUAGUAGACAUCAAGCUCUUUUCUGGCGCCAUUGCUGGGGAGGUUAGUGCUUGAAUUAUAUCUUUAGAUCUUGCAAUCAAAUCUUUUGUUUCUUGUUUUAGCACUAGUUUAGUUUAUAAAAGAAAACUACAAAAAAAUGGAAUUGAGUUUCCCUCAUACACUUCAUCUUUUUAACAUCUUUCGUGAGAAUGAUGGAAAGGAAAAUUGUGCUCAAAUGCUAGAAGAAGAAGUCUAUAAAAUGUUUGGCACUAAAUCUUCGAAUGAUGAGCAUGAUUGCAAUGUUGUUAGUGUGAAUUCUUUGAAUAUCCAUGAUGCUAAUGAUAUGCAAAGCCACAAGCUUGGGGAUGCUAUGUUUGAUGAAUAUGAUAUUUUUGUCCCCCAAGUUUUGAUGAUCAAAUUUAUUAUGAUGACAGCAUGCCUCCUAUUUAUGAUGAUUAUAUUGAUGAAAGUGGGUUUCGAAGAGUGUCAACUUUAGGAAGUAAUGAUCCCACUAUUUCGGAGGGUUUUGAAUCUUAUUGUGAUAAUUAUGAAAGUGGAUUUGGAGAGGUCAUGACUUUACUUAGUGAUGAAUCCACUAUUUCGGAAGAGGUUCAAAUUGAUUAUGUGAACAAAGUUGCUAUCUAUGAUGAUUAUUGUGAUUACUUGUAUGCUAUUAAGAAUAAUGAUAAACAUUAAACUUCUCAUCAUAAUUUUAGUUUUCAAUUGGAUUAUGCCUCACAUGGUAAUUAUUUUGUUGAGUUUACUCCCACUAUUAUUCAUGAGAAGAAAUUUUCUUAUGUGGAGAGUAAUAAAAUUACUAUGCUUGUAGAUCAUGAAAAUAAUGCUCUAUGUGAUGGUUAUAUUGUUGAAUUCAUUCAUGAUGCUACUGAAAAUUAUUAUGAGGGAGGAACAUAUGCUUGUAGGAAUUGCAAUAAUAUCAAGUUUCCUCUCUAUGUGCUUAAAGUUUUGAAGUUAUGCUUGUUUUGCCCUCCUAUGCUAGUUGAUUAUUGUUCCCAUAAGUUGUUUGCUCACAAAAUCCCUAUGCAUAGGAAGUGGGUUAGACUUAAAUGUGCUUGUAAUAUGCUUCAUGAUGCUCUUGUUAUGUUACAAUUCUUAUCUUUUAUGUAAGCAUCAUUGAAAUCAUCAUGCCUAGCUAGGGGCGUUAAACGAUAGCGCUUGUUGGGAGGCAACCCAACUUUAUUUUUGUUCCUUGCUUUUUGUUCCUGUUUAGUAAUAAAUAAUUAAUCUAGCCUCUGUUUAUAUGUGGUUUUAUGCUUUUAAUUAGUGUUUGUGCCAAGUAGAACCUCUCGGAAGACUUGGGAAAAGUCUUUGCGAUCAUGCUGUAAAAAACAGAAACUUUAGCGCUCACGAGAAUUGCUUCCAUUUUUUAUUGGAGAGUGAUAUUUAGUUAAUUCUUUUUUCAUAUGAUUAAUAGAUAAAUUCCUCGAGUCCAGAAACUUAUUUUAGAAUAUUUGGGGUUCCAUAAGUUUGCAUUAGUUACAGAUUACUACAGACUGUUCUGUUUUUGACAGAAUCUGUUUUUCAUGUGUUGUUUACUUAUUUUGAUGAAUCUAUGGCUAGUAAAAGAGUUUAUAAACCAUAUAGAAGUUGGAAUACAGUAGGUUUAACACCAAUAUAAAUAAAUAAUGAGUUCAUUACACUACCUUGAAGUGGUGUUUUGUUUUCUUUCGCUAACGGAGCUUACGAGUUUUCUGUUAAGUUUUGUGUUGUGAAGUUUUCAAGUUUUGGGUAAAGAUUCGAUAGACUAUGAAAUAAGGAGUGGCAAGAGCCUAAGCUUGGGGAUGCCCAAGGUGCCCCAAGGUAAUAUUCAAGUACAACCAAGAUCCUAAGCUUGGGGAUGCCUCGGAAGGCAUCCCCUCUUUCGUUUUCGUUCAUCGGUAACUUUACUUGGAGCUAUAUUUUUAUUCACCACAUGAUAUGUGUUUUGCUUGGAGCGUCAUUUUAUUUUAUUUUGUUUUGCUUGCUGUUUGAAUAAAAUACCAAGAUCUGAAAUUCUUAAAUGUUAGAGAGUCUUCAUAUAGUUGCAUAAUUAUUUGACUAUUGAUUGAUCUUCACUUAUAUCUUUCGGAGUAGUUUGUUGUUGCUCUAGUGCUUCACUUAUAUCUUUUAGAGCACGAAGGUGGUUCUAUUUUGUAGAAAUAAUUGAUCUCUUAUGCUUCACUUAUAUUAUUUUGAGAGUCCUAAACAGCAUGGUAAUUUUCUUUGGUUAUGAAUUUAGUCCUAAUAUGAUGGGCAUCCAAGAGGGAUAUAAUAAAAACUUUCAUAUAAAGUGCAUUGAAUACUAUGAGAAGUUUGAUACUUGAUGAUUGUUUUGAGAUAUGAGGAUGGUAAUAUUAGAGUCAUGCUAGUGAGUAGUUAUGAAUUUGAGAAAUACUUGUGUUAAAGUUUGUGAUUCUCAUAGCAUGCACGUAUGGUGAACAGUUAUGUGAUGAAGUCGGAGCAUGAUUUAUUUAUUUAUUGUCUUCCUUAUGAGUGGCGGUCGGGGAUGAGCAAUGGUCUUUUACUACCAAUCUAUCCCCCUAGGAGCAUGCGCAUAGUACUUUGUUUCGAUAACUAAUAGAUUUUUGCAAUAAGUAUGUGAAUUCUUUAUGACUAAUGUUGAGUCCAUAGAUUAUACGCACUCUCACCCUUCCACCGUUGCUAGCCUCUUUAGUAUCGCGCAACUUUGGUCGGUACCUUAAACCCACAUUAUACCUUCCUCAAAACAGCCACCAUACCUACAUAUCAUGGCAUUUCCAUAGCCAUUCCGAGAAAUAUUGCCAUGCAACUUUCCACCGUUCCGUUUAUUAUGACACGCUUCGUCAUUGUCAUAUUGCUUUGCAUGAUCAUGUAGUUGACAUCGUAUUUGUGGCAAAGCCACCGUUCAUAAUUCUUUCAUACAUGUCACUCAUGAGUCAUUGCACAUCCUGGUACACUGCCGGAGCCAUUCAUAUAGAGUCAUAUCUUGUUCUAAGUAUCGAGUUGUAAUCCUUGAGUUGUAAGUAAGUAAAAGUGUGAUGAUCAUCAUUAUUAGAGCAUUGUCCCAGUGAGGAAAGGAUGAUGGAGACUAUGAUUCCCCCACAAGUCGGGAUGAGACUCUGAUCCAAAAAAAAGAGGCCAUAAAAAGAGAGAAAAGGCCCAAAUAAAAAAACAAAAAAAUGAGAGAAAAACAGAGAAGGGGCAAUGCUACUAUCCUUUUACCACACUUGUGCUUCAAAGGAGCAGCAUGAUCUUCAUGAUAGAGAGUCUCCUAUGUUGCCACUUUCAUAUACUAAUGGGAAUUUUACAUUAUAGAACUUGGCUUGUAUAUUCCAAUGAUGGGCUUCCUCAAAAUGCCCUAGGUCUUCGUGAGCAAGCGAGUUGGAUGCACACCCACUUAGUUUCUUUUUGAGCUCUCAUACACUUAUAGCUCUAGUGCAUCCGUUGCAUGGCAAUCCCUACUCACUCACAUUGGUAUCUAUUGAUGGGCAUCUCCAUAGCCCGUUGAUACGUGAUGUCUACUACACAACCUUCUUCUUGUAGACGUUGUUGGGCCUCCAAGUGCAGAGGUUUGUAGGACAGUAGCAAAUUUCCCUCAAGUGGAUAACCUAAGGUUUAUCAAUCCGUAGGAGGCGUAGGACGAAGAUGGUCUCUCUCAAGCAACCCUGCAACCAAAUAACAAAGAGUCUCUUGUGUCCCCAACACACCCAAUACAAUGGUAAAUUGUAUAGGUGCACUAGUUCGGCGAAGAGAUGGUGAUACAAGUGGUAUAUGGAUAGUAGAUAUGGGUAUUUGUAAUAUGAAAAUAUAAAAACAGCAAGGUAACUAAUGAUAAAAGUGAGCGUAAACGGUAUUGCAAUGUGUUGAAACAAGGCCUAGGGUUCAUACUUUCGCUAGUGUAAGUUCUCUCAACAAUAAUAACAUAAUUGGAUCAUAUAACUAUCUCUCAACAUGCAAAAAAGAGUCACUCCAAAGUCACUAAUAGCGGAGAAAAAACAAAGAGAUUAUGGUAGGGUACGAAACCACCUCAAAGUUAUUCUUUCCAAUCAAUCCAUUGGGCUAUUCCUAUAAGUGUCACAAACAACCCUAGAGUUCAUACUAGAAUAACACCUUAAGACACAAAUAAACCAAAACCCUAAUGUCACCUAGAUACUCCAAUAUCACCUCAAGUAUCUGUGGGUAUGAUUAUAUGAUAUGCAUCACACAAUCUCAGAUUCAUCUAUUCAACCAACACAUAGGACCUCAAAGAGUGCCCCAAAGUUUUUACCGGAGAAUCACGAUGAAAACGUGUGCCAACCCCUAUGCAUAGGUUCAUGGGCGGAACCCGCAAGUUGAUCACCAAAACGUACAUCAAGUGAAUCACGUGGUAUCCCAUUGUCACCACAGAUACGCACGGCAAGACAUACAUCAAGUGUUCUCAAAUCUUUAAAGACUCAAUCCGAUAAGAUAACUCCAAAGGGGAAACUCAAUUCAUUACAAGAGAGUAGAGGGGGGAGAAACAUAAGAUCCAACUAUAAGAGCAAAGCUCGCGAUACAUCAAGAUCGUACCACCUCAAGAACACGAGAGAGAGAGAGAGAGAGAGAGAUCAAACACAUAGCUACUGGUACAUACCCUCAGCCCCGAGGGAGAACUACUCCAUCCUCGUCAUGGAGAGCGCCGGGAUGAUUAAGAUGGCCACCGGAGAAGGAUUCCCCCUCCGACAGGGUGCCGGAACGGGUCUAGAUUGGUUUUCAGUGGCUACGGAGGCUGCUGGCGGCGGAACUCCCGAUCUAUUGUGUGUUCUGGAAGUUUUAGGGUACGUGAGUAUAUAUGGGUGCAGGAAGUACGUCGGUGGAGCUUUGGGGGCCCCACGAGGCAGGGGGCGCGCCCUAGGGGGCGCCCCCCCCCCACCCUCGUGAGCACCUCCCUUGGCUCCUGACGUGGGGUCCAAGUCCAUCCGGUAGCUUUCCUUCCAAAAAUAACUUCUCUAGUUGAUUUCGUUUCGUUUCAACUCCGUUUGAUAUUCUUUUUCUUCGAAACACUGAAAUAGGCAAAAAAACAACAAUUCUGGGCUGGGCCUCCGGUUAAUAGGUUAGUCCCAAAAAUAAUAUAAAAGUGGAUAAUAAAGCCCAAUAUUGCCCAAAACAGUAGAUAACAUAGCAUGGAGCAAUAAAAAAUUAUAGAUACUUUGGAGACGUAUCAAGCAUCCCCAAGCUUAAUUCCUGCUCGUCCUCGAGUAGGUAAAUGAUAAAAGAAAGAAUUUUUGAUGUGGAAUGCUAGUUGGCAUAAUGUAAUGCAAUUCUUCUUAAUUGUGGUAUGAAUAUUCAGAUCCAAAAGAUUCAAGACAAAAGUUCAUAUUGACAUAAAAAUGAUAAUACUUCAAGCAUACUAAGUAAGCAAUUAUGUCUUCUCAAAAUAACAUGGCCAAAGAAAGUUCAUCCCUACAAAAUCAUAUAGUUUAGUCAUGUUUCAUUUUCGUCACACAAGAAUGCUCUCAUCAUGCACAACCCUGAUAACAAGCCAAGCAAUUGUUUCAUACUUUAGUAAUCUCAAACCUAUAAACUUUCACGCAAUACAUGAGCGCGAGCCAUGGAUAUAGCACUAUGGGUGGAAUAGAAUAUAAUGAGGGGGGUUAUGUGGAGAAGACAAAAAGGAGAAAGUCUCACAUCAACGAGGCUAAUCAAUGGGCUAUGGAGAUGCCCACCGAUUGAUGUUAAUGCAAGGAGUAGGGAUUGCAAUGCAACGGAUGCACUAGAGCUAUAAAUGUAUGAAAGCUCAACAAAAGAAACUAAGUGGGUGUGCAUCCAACUUGCUUGCUCACGAAGACCUAGGGCACUUGAGGAGGCCCAUUGUUGGAAUAUACAAGCCAAGUUCUAUAAUGAAAAAUUCCCACUAGUAUAUGAAAGUGAUAACAUGAGAGACUCUCUACUAUGAAGAUCAUGGUGCUACUUUGAAGCACAAGUGUGGUAAAAGGAUAGUAACAUUGUCCCUUCUCUCUUUUUCUCUCAUUUUUUGGGCCUUCUCUCUUUUUUAUGGCCUUUCUUUUGGGGGGGCCUUCUCUCUUUUUUUGGCCUUUCUCUUUUUUUUAUUCCUCACUUGGGACAAUGCUCUAAUAAUGAUGAUCAUCACACUUCUAUUUAUUUACAACUCAAUGAUUACAACUCGAUACUAGAACAAAGAUGACUCUAUAUGAAUGCCUCCGGCGGUGUACCGGGAUAUGCAAUGAACCAAGAGUGACAUGUAUGAAAGAAUUAUGAAUGGUGGCUUUGCCACAAAUACUAUGUCAACUACAUGAUCAUGCUAAGCAAUAUGACAAUGAUGAUGCGUGUCAUAAUAAACGGAAUGGUGGAAAGUUGCAUGGCAAUAUAUCUCGGAAUGGCUAUGGAAAUGCCAUAAUAGGUAGGUAUGGUGGCUGUUUUGAGGAAGAUAUAAGGAGGUUUAUGUGUGACAGAGCAUAUCAUAUCACGGGGUUUGGAUGCACCGGCGAAGUUUGCGCCAACUCUCAAUGUGAGAAAGGGCAAUGCACGGUACCGAAGAGGCUAGCAAGGAUGGAAGGGUGAGAGUGCGUAUAAUCCAUAGACUCAACAUUAGUCAUAAAGAACUCACAUACUUAUUGCAAAAAUCUACAAGUCAUCAAAAACCUCGGCACUACGCGCAUGCUCCUAGGGGGAUAGAUUGGUAGGAAAAGACCAUCGCUCGUCCCCGACCGCCACUCAUAAGGAAGACAAUCAAAUAACACCUCAUGUUUCAAAUUUGUUACACAAUGUUUACCAUACGUGCAUGCUAUGGGACUUGCAAACUUCAACACAAGCAUUUCUCAAUUUCACAACUACUCAACUAGCACAACUUUGAUAUUAUUACCCCCAUAUCUCAAAACAAUCAUCAAGCAUCAAACUUCUCUUAAUAUUCAACGCACUCAUAAGAAAGUUUUAUUAUUCUUGAAUACCUAGCAUAUUAGGAUUUUAAGCAAAUUACCAUGCUAUUAAGACUCUCAAAAUAAUCUAAGUGAAGCAUGAGAGUUCAUCUAUUUCUUCAAAAUAAAACUACCACCAUGCUCUAAAAGAUAUAAGUGAAGCACUAGAGCAAAUGACAAACUGCUCCAAAAGAUAUAAGUCAAGAUCAAUGAGUAGUUGAAUAAUUAUGCAACUAUGUGAAGACUCUCUAACAUUUAAGAAUUUCAGAUCUUGGUAUUUUAUUCAAACAUCAAGCAAAGCAAAAUAAAAUGACAUUUUUAUAAUGGCAAAUAUCAUGUGAAGAAGCAAAAACUUAGGAUCAACCGAAACUAACCGAUAGUUGUUGAAGAAGAAAGGUGGGAUGCCAACCGGGGCAUCCCCAAGCUUAGAUGCUUGAGACUUCUUGAAAUAUUAUCUUGGGAUGCCUUGGGCAUCCCCAAGCUUGAGCUUUUGUGUCUCCUUAAUUCCUCUCAUAUCACAGUCUCCCUAAAUCUCAAAAGCUUCAUCCACACAAAACUCAACAAGGACUCGUGAGAUAAGUUAGUAUAAACCAUUGCAAAAACCUUAUAAUACUCUACUGUAGAAAAUCACUAAAAGUAUUAUUCAACAUUGCAUACUAAAUGCCUCUGCAUAUUUAAUAGUACUAUCCUCAAAUAGAAUCAUUAAAGAAGCAAACAUAUGCAAACAAUGCAAACAUAACAGCAAUCUGCCUAAACAGGAUAGUCUGUAAAGAAUGCUGCAACAUCCAUACUUCCAUAGCUCCAAAAAUUAUGAAAGAAAAUUCCCACUGUAGUAAAUUUAUCAUAUCUUAAUAUGCAAAAGGUUUCAACAUUUUAUCACAUUCUGACUUUUCUAGGGAAUUAUUGCAACAGCGGUAAACUUUCUGUUUUCAAACAGCAACAUGUAUACUUGUAACAUAGGCAUAGUAAAGGCUAUCAAUGCCACUUUUAUUGAAAUAAAAGAUGAAAAACAUUGUUCUAAAUAAAAGAAAGUAAAACCUAACAAAAUAAAUUUACGCUCCAAGCAAAACACAUAUCAUGUGGCGAAUAAAAAUAUAGCUCUAAGUAAAGUUACCGAUGAAUAAAGACGAAAGAGGGGAUGCCUUCCGGGGCAUCCCCAAGCUUAGGCUCUUGGUUGUCCUUGAAUAUUACCUUGGGGUGCCUUGGGCAUCCCCAAUAUUAGGCUCUUACGACUCCUUAUUCCAUAGUCCAAUGAAUCUUUACCCAAAACUUGAAAACUUCACAACACAAAACUUAACAGAAAACUCGUAAGCUCCGUUAGCGAAAGAAAACAAAACACUACUUCAAGGUACUGUAAUUAACUCAUUAUUUAUUUAUAUUGGUGUUAAAACUACUGUAUUCAAAAUUCUAUAUGUUUUAUAAACUCUUUUACUAGCCAUAGAUUCAUCAAAAUAAGCAAACAACACACAAAAAACAGAAUCUGUCAAAAACAGAACAGUCUGUAGUAAUCUGAAUCAAACGUAUACUUAUGGAACUCAUAAAACUCUAAAAUAAAUUGCUGGACCUGAGGAAUUUAUCUAUUAAUAAUCUGCAAAAAUAAUUAACUAAAUAGCACUCUCCAAAUAAAAAUGGCAACAAUUCUCGUGAGCGCUAAAGUUUCUGUCUUUUACAGCAUGAUCAACAAGACUUCUCCCAAGUCUUCCCAAAGGUUCUACUUGGCACAGACACUAAUUAAAAGCAUUAAACCACAUAUAAACAGAGGCUAGACGAAUUAUUUAUUACUAAACAGGAGAAAAAAAGCAAGAAACGAAAAUAAAGUUGGGUUGCCUCCCAACAAGCGCUAUCGUUUAACGCCCUAGCUAGGCUUGAUGAUUUCAACGAUGCUCACAUAAAAGAUAAGAAUUGAAACAUAAAGAGAGCAUCAUGAAGAAUAUGACUAGCACAUUUAAGUCUAACCCACUUCCUAUGCAUAGGUAUUUUGUGAGCAAACAACUUGUGGGAACAAGAAUCAACUUGCAUAGGAAGGUAAAACAAGCAUAACUUCAAAACUUUAAGCACAUAGAGAGGAAAAUUAAUAUUAUUGCAAUUCCUACAAGCAUAAAUUCCUCCCUCAUAAUAAUUUUAAGUAGUAUAAUGAAUUAAUUCAACAAUAUAACCAGCACCUAAAGCAUUAUUUUCAUGAUCUACAAGCAUAGAAAUUUUAUUACUCUCCACAUAAGCAAAUUUCUUCUCAAUCGGAAUAGUGGGAGUAUCAUAAGAGACUUGAAUACUAUAAAUUGUUUCCACAUUAAAAGAGUAAUGUUCAGAAAAAGGGUAAUCAUAAUCAUGACAAGUUUUAUAAAUAUAAUCAUCACUACUUUUUCUAGCAUAAGUAUCAUCACAAUAAUCAUCAUAAGUAGGAGGCAUGCUAUCAUCAUUAUAAAUUUGCAUAUCAAAACUUGGGAGACUAAAAAUAUCAUCUUCAUUAAACGUAGCAUCCCCAAUCUUGGGACAAACAUUAAUUUCAGCAAAUAUAUUCUCAAAAACAUCAUCUUCAUCAAACCUACCAUCCCCAAGCUUGGGCCUUUUCAUAUCAUAAGCAUAAUCGCUCUCAUCAUUAAUAGUAUGGAUAGCACCAAUAGUAUAGCAAUUAUCAUAUUCUUCCAAGCAAGUGCCAAAAAGAUUUUCAAGAUCAUAAGAAGUAUCAUUAUCUUCCACGAUUAUAUUUUCAUGAGGCACAAUCGUAAUAGGAGCAGCAUUAUUUGGGAGAGAUAUCUUUUUACCUCUCUUCCUUUUUCUUUUCUUCUAUUUCACCACAUCAUGUGUGGGUUCAAUCCUCUUUUUGGAGCUCCUUAUUAAUGAGAUUGGUUGAAUAGGAGGCUCCUCCUCGUUACUUGAUUCAUCAUAAGAAAUAAUAGGAGGGUAUUGUGAAGCCUCUUCCCUUUCAUUAGUAUUCUCUUCAUCUUCUAUUUGUUUUGUUUUCUUUAUGUAGUUGAUAAUAUAAGGAUUUUCAAUACAAUUCAGCGCACAAUACAUAUAAAUUUCCUCUAGAUCAAAGCCAAGAAGUUUGUAACGGGCAAAUUCUGGAAGAUGAUUAGUUAAACGUUUCAUUUCUUCAUAACUCAUAAGCAAAUUGAGUUCAUUAUAAUGUGCAAGGGAAAUCAAGUCAUCACAAAUUUUGGACAUGAUACGAUCAUGAAACAAUUUGCAUUGGGUAUUGAAAUGAUCAUGUUCAUUGCAAAGCUCACAAGUAUGGCCAAGAUAAUUUAAAUUUUCAACACAUUCAUCUAGCUCUUCUUGCAACAAUUUAGUUUCUAAGUGCUUAUGCCUCUUGCAAUAUCUAUCUUCCCUAUUUGGUGUGUACUUACAAACCCAAUGCAUUCCACAAAAAUUGACAUGUUUAUAGGAGACAUUUUCAUCAUAACUAGUGCAAUCAUCAUUAGUAUCAUGGAUAUUCAAAGAAUUCGUACUAACAAUAUUGCAAUCAUGCUCAUCAUUCACAUAUUUAGUGCCAAACAUUUUAUAGAUUUCUUCUUCUAGCACUUGAGCAUAAUUUUCCUUUCCAUCAUACUUACGAAAGAUAUUAAAAAGGUGAAGCGUAUGAGACAAACUCAAUUCCAUUUUUUAUAGUUUUCUUUUAUAAACUAAACUAGUGAUAAAACAAGAAACUAAAAGACUCGAUUGCAAGAUCUAAAGAUAUACCUUCAAGCACUCACCUCCCCGGCAACGGCGCCAGAAAAGAGCUUGAUGUCUACUACACAACCUUCUUCUUGUAGACGUUGUUGGGCCUCCAAGUGCAGAGGUUUGUAGGACAGUAGCAAAUUUCCCUCAAGUGGAUGACCGAAGGUUUAUCAGUCCGUAGGAGGCGUAGGAUGAAGAUGGUCUCUCUCAAGCAACCCUGCAACCAAAUAACAAAGAGUCUCUUGUGUCCCCAACACACCCAAUACAAUGGUAAAUUGUAUAGGUGCACUAGUUCGGCGAAGAGAUGGUGAUACAAGUGGUAUAUGGAUAGUAGAUAUGGGUAUUUGUAAUCUGAAAAUAUAAAAACAGCAAGGUAACUAAUGAUAAAAGUGAGCGUAAACGGUAUUGCAAUGUGUUGAAACAAGGCCUAGGGUUCAUACUUUCGCUAGUGUAAGUUCCCUCAACAAUAAUAACAUAAUUGGAUCAUAUAACUAUCCCUCAACAUGUAACAAAUAGUCACUCCAAAGUCACUAAUAGCGGAGAACAAACAAAGAGAUUAUGGUAGGGUACGAAACCACCUCAAAGUUAUUCUUUCCAAUCAACCCGUUGGGCUAUUCCUAUAAGUGUCACAAACAGCCCUAGAGUUCGUACUAGAAUAACACCUUAAGACACAAAUCAACCAAAACCCUAAUGUCACCUAGAUACUCCAAUAUCACCUCAGGUAUCCGUGGGUAUGAUUAUACGAUAUGCAUCACACAAUCUCAGAUUCAUCUAUUCAAGCAACACAUAGGACCUCAAAGAGUGCCCCAAAGUUUCUACCAGAGAAUCACGAUGAAAACGUGUGCCAACCCCUAUGCAUAGGUUCAUGGGUGGAACCCGCAAGUUGAUCACCAAAACAUACAUCAAGUGAAUCACGUGGUAUCCCAUUGUCACCACAGAUACGCACGGCAAGACAUACAUCAAGUGUUCUCAAAUCUUUAAAGACUCAAUCCGAUAAGAUAACUCCAAAGGGGAAACUCAAUUCAUUACAAGAGAGUAUAGGGGGAGGAGAAACAUAAGAUCCAACUAUAAUAGCAAAGCUCGCGAUACAUCAAGAUCGUACCACCCCAAGAACAUGAGAGAGAGAGAGAGAGAGAGAGAGAUAGAGAGAGAUCAAACACAUAGCUACUGGUACAUACCCUUAGCCCCGAGGGAGAACUACUCCCUCCUCAUCAUGGAGAGCGCCGGGAUGAUGAAGAUGGCCACCGGAGAAGGAUCCCCCCCCCGGCAGGGUGCCGGAACGGGUCUAGAUUGGUUUUCGAUGGCUACGGAGGCUUCUGGCGGCGGAACUCCCGAUCUAUUGUGUGUUCUGGAAGUUUUAGGGUACGUGAGUAUAUAUGGGUGCAGGAAGUACGUCGGUGGAGCUUCGGGGGGCCCAUGAGGCAGGGGCGCGCGCCCCCACCCUCAUGAGCACCUCCCUUGGAUCCUGACAUGGGGUCCAAGUCCAUCCGGUAGCUUUCCUUCCAAAAAUAACUUCUGGAGUUGAUUUCGUUCUGUUUUGACUUUGUUUGAUAUUCCUUUUCUUCGAAACACUGAAAUAGGCAAAAAAACAGCAAUUCUGGGCUGGGCCUCCGGUUAAUAGGUUAGUCCCAAAAAUAAUAUAAAAGUGGAUAAUAAAGCCCAAUAUUGCCCAAAACAGUAGAUAACAUAGCAUGGAGAAAUAAAAAAUUAUAGAUACGUUGGAGGCAUAUCAAUACGCCUAGUUGAUGUGGGACUAUCUUCUCCUUUUUGUCUUCUCCACAACCACCAUUCUAUUCCACCUAUAGUGCUAUGUCCAUGGCUCACGCUCAUGUAUUGCGUGAAGAUUGAAAAAAGUUUGAGAACAUCAAAAGUAUGAAAUAAUUGCUUGGCUUGUCAUCGGGGUUGUGCAUGAUUUAAAUAUUUUGUGUGAUGAAGAUAGAGCAUAUGCAGACUAUAUGAUUUUGUAGGGAUAUCUUUCUUUGGCCAUGUUAUUUUGAGAAGACAUGAUUACUUUGUUAGUAUGCUUGAAGUAUUAUUAUUUUUAUGUCAAUAUUAAACUUUUGUCUUGAAUCUUAUGGAUCUGAAUAUUCUUGCCACAAUAAAGAGAACUACAUGGAUAAAUAUGUUAGGUAGCAUUCCACAUCAAAAAUUAUGUUUUUAUCAUUUACCUAGUCGAGGACGAGCAGGAAUUAAGCUUGGGGAUGCUGAUACGUCUCCAACAUAUCUAUAAUUUUUUAUUGUUCCAUGCUAUUAUAUUAUCAACCUUGGAUGUUUUAUAUGCAUUUAUAUGCUAUUUUAUAUAAUUUUUGGGACUAACCUAUUAACCUAGAGCCCAGUGCCAGUUUCUGUUUUUUUUGCUCGUUUUAGAGUAUCGCGGAAAAGGAAAAUCAAACGGAGUCCAAUUGACCUGAAACUUCACGGAACUUUUUUUUGGACCAGAAGAAGCCCGCGGAGUAUCGGAGAUGGACCGGGAGAGUCCCGGGCUGCCCACAAGGGUGGGGGCGCGNNNNNNNNNNNNNNNNNNNNNNNNNNNNNNNNNNNNNNNNNNNNNNNNNNNNNNNNNNNNNNNNNNNNNNNNNNNNNNNNNNNNNNNNNNNNNNNNNNNNNNNNNNNNNNNNNNNNNNNNNNNNNNNNNNNNNNNNNNNNNNNNNNNNNNNNNNNNNNNNNNNNNNNNNNNNNNNNNNNNNNNNNNNNNNNNNNNNNNNNNNNNNNNNNNNNNNNNNNNNNNNNNNNNNNNNNNNNNNNNNNNNNNNNNNNNNNNNNNNNNNNNNNNNNNNNNNNNNNNNNNNNNNNNNNNNNNNNNNNNNNNNNNNNNNNNNNNNNNNNCGACGUACUUCUUCCUCCUAUAUAUACCCAUAUACCCUAAAAACUUCGAGGAGCAGAAUAGAUCGGGAGUUCCGCCGCCAGAAGCCUCCGUAGCCACCGAAAACCAAUCUAGACCCGUUCCGGCACCCUGCCGGAGGGGGAAUCCCUCUCUGGUGGCCAUCUUCAUCAUCUCGGCGCUCUCCAUGACGAGGAGGGAGUAGUUCUCCCUCGGGGCUGAGGGUAUGUACCAAUAGUUAUGUGUUUGAUCUCUCUCUCUCUCUCUCUCUCUCGUGUUCUUGAGGUGGUACGAUCUUGAUGUAUCGUGAGCUUUGCUAUUAUAGUUGGAUCUUAUGAUGUUUCUCCCCCUCUACUCUCUUGUAAUGGAUUGAGUUUUCCCUUUGAAGUUAUCUUAUCGGAUCGAGUCUUUAAGGAUUUGAGAACACUCGAUGUAUGUCUUGUCGUGCUUAUCUUUGGUGACAAUGGGAUAUCACGUGAUCCACUUGAUGUAUGUUUUGGUGAUCAACUUGCGGGUUCCGCCCAUGAACCUAUGCAUAGGGGUUGGCACACGUUUUCGUCUUGACUCCCCGGUAGAAUCUUUGGGGCACUCUUUGAAGUACUUUGUGUUGGUUUGAAUAGAUGAAUCUGAGAUUGUGUGAUGCAUAUCGUAUAAUCAUACCCACGGAUACUUGAGGUGACAUUGGAGUAUCUAGGUGACAUUAGGGUUUUGGUUGAUUUGUGUCUUAAGGUGUUAUUCUAGUACGAACUCUAUAAUAGAUUGAACAGAAAGAAUAACUUCAUGUUAUUUUACUACGGACUCUUGAAUAGAUCGAUCAGAAAGGAUAACUUUGAGGUGGUUUCGUACCCUACCAUAAUCUUUUCGUUUGUUCUUCGCUAUUAGUGACUUUGGAGUGACUCUUUGUUGCAUGUUGAGGGAUAUUUAUAUGAUCCAAUUAUGUUAUUAUUGUUGAGAGAGCUUGCACUAGUGAAAGUAUGAACCCUAGGCCUUGUUUCAACGCAUUGCAAUACCAUUUACGCUCACUUUUAUCAUUAGUUACCUUGCUGUUUUUAUAUUUUCAGAUUACAAAAACCUUUAUCUACCAUCCAUAUACCACUUGUAUCACCAUCUCUUCGCCGAACUAGUGCAUCUAUACAAUUUACCAUUGUAUUGGGCGUGUUGGGGACACAAGAUACUCUUUGUUAUUUGGUUGCAGGGUUGCUUGAGAGAGACCAUCUUCAUCCUAUGCCUCCUACGGAUUGAUAAACCUUAGGUCAUCCACUUGAGGGAAAUUUGCUACUGUCCUACGAACCUCUGCACUUGGAGACCCAACAACGUCUACAAGAAGAAGGUUGUGUAGUAGACAUCAGAGAGUGGUGUCUCCUAGAUUGGUUAGGUGUCACUUGGGAGCCUCCGUCAAGAUUGUGGAGUUGAACCAAGGAGUUUGUACAGGCAAGGAGAUCGCCUACUUCGUGAAGAUCUACCCUAGUGAGGCAAGUCCUUCGUGGGCGAUGGCCAUGGUGGGAUAGACAAGGUUGCUUCUUCGUGGACCCUUCGUGGGUGGAGCCCUCCGUGGAGUUGCGUAACUGUUACCCUUCGUGGGUUGAAGUCUUCAUCAACGUGGAUGUACGAUAGCACCACCUAUCGGAACCACGCCAAAAAUCUCCGUGUCUACAUUGCGUUUGCUCCCUCCAAACUCCUCCCUUUACGUUCAUGUGCAAUGUUUUACAUUCUGCUGCUAUACUCUUAGAGUUGCAUGUGUAGGUUGUUUACUUAACUAGUGCUAAAUUGCUAAAAUCUGCCAAGACUUAAAAUUGGGAAAAUACUAGAUUUUUAUUUGGUUAAAUAGUCUAAUCACCCUCCGUCUAGACAUACUUUUGAUCCUACAGCAGCCCAUGCAACCAGUCAAAACGCGAAGACAUAGUGAGGCUCAGUUCUUUUGUCAGAAUCUGGGGAUUCUCCCACUUGUAAAACAAAUGAGUCUUAAAGAUUCUGAAAGAAGCUGUGUAGGGGUCGGAUUCUGGGAGAAUCCCCAUAUUCUGGCAAAAGAACUGGGCCUCAGAUCUUCUUACACCAUGUUCCCUCCAGUAACACUCAUCAAGCUUCCAAUAGACAUUGUCUAUGUCCUUCCUUAUUGUGCAAACCUGCCCACUGCGUCACGGCAAGUUCAACCACAGUUUUACCAAGGCAAAAGACUGGAAAAAAAAACCUUGACUUCAUAGUUGAAAUCUAAAAUGAACCCUGAACUUUAAAUCCUUGAAAUCAGCACCUUGUCUUACAUAAUCCCGGUAUAUCCCGGCCCUUUUUGGCUGAGAAGGUGUUUGUCUCCACUGGGAUUACACAAAUGGUAAAGAGAGGGGGGGGGGGGGAUCAAGGCCAGCUGGUCUAAACAUGGUCAUGAUCUGUACAAACGUUGCUGGUCUUUUUACGCACAAGCACACCAUACCACUUCUUUCCUUGCUGCUCUAAACGUGUUGAUUUGUUCUACACUCGCACAAAUGGUAGCGAUCGGAAGGCUUUUUUGCAAAAAUAAAGAUACAUAAAAAACACAUUUGGACUUGUACGUGUGACAUGAUAGGAAAAACUCAUUAAAAAAAUGAGCGCUUAUAGGCGCCGGCGCGCCGGCCGAAAGUUCUGGCCGGUCGAGCCCAAGCCGUUGGAUGUGAGCCAUGCAGCCAUUGGAUCCAGACAAGAGAAAAUCAAAUCGCCCCCAACUUCUUCUUCCUCAGGCUGUCGGGCUGGAUCCCCACGUCCCGCUCAGGGAGCGCGGCGUCGCGCCUCCUGUCCAGGUCGCAGCCCGGGAGAAGCGGGAGGGGAUGCGCGCGUGAAGGCUGAGGUAGGGGAUGGAGGCAUAUAGGAGAGAAGGCGUGUCACGCGGGGCCACUGCGUAUUGCAGGUUGGACCAACGUGGUGUGCGAGCCGGCCGAAAGUUCGGUCGGCGCACCGCGCCUAACGUUUACCUAAAAAAUUCUUUAAUUUCAACUAAAACUAGCUUCCUCAAUUUUACUCAUGACUAACACACACACACGCAUUUAUGCUCACCCGCCAGAGCUGUCAAACCAGCAUCGGGAGACGAUGGCUGCGGUUGUCAUAGACCGGAGCCAUCACGAACCGGAGCAGAUCGAGUCAGAGACGACGCUUCCCAUGAAGCUCCGGCAGGCAGCGAGGAGCCGCCGCCGCAGCGCCGCCGCCCACGCAAUCGUGGAAGGCCUCCCAUCUUUAUCUGUCAGUGUCGACUGCCACACAGGCCACACCACGUGCCACCAACCGAUCGAGGUCGCUGCCCCGAGAACCGAUUCGCCAGCCGCCGCCCCGUCGUGUGAGCCCGCGCCCGCAGUGCCCACGUCCGCGCACCACGCAUGCUACGCGCAUCGUACACGCUCGCCCGCACCUGGCGCCAACUCCUCACGGCGACCAUGCUCCUUCACGGCAGAGCGCCCCGCAACGCCCUAGCCCCGUGAGAGGAAAGAAACGGAGUGCCUCACCGCCGCCGGUACCACAUGGGCUUUGCCCGGCGGCUCCUACCGAUGGCGGUGAGGGGAGGGAGAUCUGGGUAGGAGGUAGUUCCCCCGGCGGCUAGGGUUCUGCCCGGGUCGCCCGCGGGGUCCUGUUAUCGAUUACACUCCAUUUGUUUGUCAGUUUCGAGAUAUAGCAAUCUAGUAGGAGAUGAACUAUGCACAAGAUUGAGAAAUUUUACACCAUUACUAAUUGUCGAUGAAACAUGGUGAAACAUGCACGUUCCUUCACACAACUACGUAUUUGGCUUGGCUAGCUAGCUAGCAACAAUGGAGCUUGCGUGCACAGGGCAGAAGACUGAACGGCCAGUGAUUGAGCACACGUACGCGGUACUCACGCCUACAUGCACUAAAGAUUGAACAGCCACUUCGGUAAGUCUCCAUCUAUCCCACUGCAAAACUAUUCGGUUUUCUCUAAUCUCUGUUACAUGUGCAAUCCUGACGGGGACAAACGCCUCCUCAGCCAGAAAGGGUUGGGAUAAACCGGGAUUAGAUAAGACGGGGUGCUAAUUUUAGGGAUUUGGAGUUUAGGGUUCAUUUAAGACUUCGACUACGAAAUCAAUGUUUUUUUCAGACUUUUUUCUUUUACCAAUAUCCAAACUGAUCUCUUAUAAACCAGGCAAGAUAAUACCCAGAGCCAGAGGAGUACUACCACACCAGAAUCACGCCAGAAAUCUGUGUCAGUCCCAUUGCCAAUACCAACUUUUCCCCCUUUCAAAUAGUAGAUGCUUUUGAUAUAAGUAGUUUUUGUGUCUUCUAAAGAUAAAUAUAUUUUUCUAACAGUGACUUGUACAGUGCACACAUGCACGAUAUACAUGCACCCUCCUUCACGGUCACUUGUAGCAUGGUCAAAUACACAAGACGUCUUUCUUCAAAAAUAAAAAUAAAAUACACAAGGCGUCAAGACCCCAUCAAAUCAGAAGCGCGCAAGACGCUUGGUCAUAUCCCGUUGGAAAAAAUUGUAGCUGCAGUGAGCUAGCCAUCGACUUAUCAUGAUCGCAACUGACACUGACAUGAAUGCACUGUUAUGAACAUAACAAUCCAAGGAAGUCUUCCAGACAGACAAGGGAAAUUAAACUAAGGAUCACAAGCGUGCAGUUGCUCCUACCCGGCCAUAAACAAAGCGGAGUGGAUCGAACGAUCCAAAGCUGCACUGAUUGCUGUUAGUUUGUCACAUGUACGUAAAUUAAUGUGCGUCCGAACAAGAACAAUCACACCACACGGCCUCCGUCGAUCAGUCGCUCACAAGUCCCAACUGUUCAAAAAUUUACACUUAUUUCGAACGAAUUAUUACAGGCUCCAAUGUCUGAACAAUGGGCGACAUGCCGCCGCACAUGGCAGAGGAUCCAGUUCAGAAGAUUUGGAGGAUGUCCUGGAUGAAGACGUUGCAGAGCGGGCAGUUGCCGCGGGCGUGCCGGAGCUCGCGGGAGCAGAGGCGGCAGAAGGUGUGGCCGCACGGGAUGAAGGCCGCGCCCUUGUGCCGCACCAUGCACACGCAGCACACCUGCGCCUCCUCCUCUUCUUCCUCUUCGUGCCGGUCACCGUGGCCGUCCUCGUCGUUGACAUCGACCAUGCCGCACUGGGUCACGCCGCCGUCCUCGUCAGCUUCCAAGUGGAUGUCCGUCUGCUCCAGCAGCGCCAUCAGUGACGUCGACGCCGCCGCCACCGGCGGAGGCUCGUCGUUGUGUCCGUCCUCCUCUUCUACGUCGUUCUCCUCGUCGUCGUCGACCACGGCGCGCGGGGACGGGGCGCGGGUGAAGGCCACGGCCACCGAUCCCUCGCCGGGGGACGGGUGGUACUUGUAGCUGCUUCUCGGGGAGGCUCUGCUCGCCACGGCGCGGGGAGGCUUGGCCGUCGACCCUGUCGCGUGCCACGCGCCCGCGGCGCGACGGACCCAGAGCCGGUGGGGCAGCGGCCUCCAGUUGAUCGCACCGCCAGAGCCGCCCUCGCCUCGAACGUCCCGGUCGAUGGCGUCCAUGAGCGUGCACGGCCUGUCUUCUGCGCUGUCGUCGUCGUCGUCGUCCGGGAUCCUGAGGAAGUCGCGGAUGGCCGGUUCGGCGGGCGUGGAGAGCUGCUCCUUGAGCGUCAUGGCGCGCCGCAGCUCCGGCCGCCGGUCCAUCGGCAGGCCCCGAUCGCCGGCGCGGCGUCUCCUUCGCGUCGGGGGUGGUGACCGCGGUGGUUGAGAGAGGACAGAGAGGCGGGCUGCGGUUGCGCGCGAGUGGGGAGGACGGGAGACGCCGUGGACUGGAGCGGGCCUCGCGGGGUUUUUAAACCCUGGAACGCAAUUACCGCAAAGGCGCGCGGAUGGGAGCGAAAUUACGCCGGGUGCCACGCUAAGUCAGACUUACGACGGGCACCUGGCUUCCACUAUGUUACUGGGCAGUGGAGUAAUUUGCCCACUUGAUGUCCUAAAAUUUGACGACGGAAUCACCGGAGGUCUGGAAAACUAUUUCGAAAUCCUGUACUUGCUAGUUUGGCCACUUGUCAUCUAAAUUUUGACGACGGAAUAGCCGGAGGUCAGGAAAACUAUUCUGAAAAUCGGUACGUACUUGCAGAUUGCUGGUGAAUGUGACGGUACGUUGCAGUACAGAAAAUAUAGCAGUGCCACUUGAACAGUGGGUUUUCAAAACUUGAAAGAAAUAAAAGUACUUGAACAGUGUGCAUGCGCGCGAGCGGACGUACGUGAUGCGUGCAAGCAACGGAACCUGGUACGUACCACGGCAACAGGAGCGGGCUCACUUUGUUUACUGUGGCCCAGGCCAGGCAUGCAUGAGAAGUUGGUGCUACAUCUACAUGCACCUCCAUCGAAACCCUUCGCGUCGCCUCGGUCUUGGGUGGGCAAACGGACCACACUGAACUGAACUUUUUGUUUCUUGCCAAGGAAUGAACUUGCACUUCGCACCGCCAGCAUCUAUUUCUGUGCACUGUCAACAUGGUGCUCUAGUUUACCUUUGGCACUGAACAUUGCUGAACGGAACCCCUGGGCACCUAACUCGGUUUUGGCCUGCAUGUGUACGUACAUGACGCGCGUUGGUUGGUUGGCCGGGGUCCGCGACAGGAAUGGAAGCCAUUGAUUGUAUCUCUACUCCGCUGUACCGUAGCGAGCGAGCGUACGUACGCAGCCAGCCGUGUAUUCGGUGACAUGAAGGCUGGCUAAUGAACCCCCUCCCCGUCGUACGUCCACGUCCGCUGCUUGCAACCACUAGGGCAGCUACGUGUGACCUAUCCGCAUCGCCCGACUGUCCAGCACUCUACAACUACGAGCACACAGACAGCGGGCAGAAAACCAGGCGAGAUGACGGGAUGGUCCGAUGAUGGCGCCGUCUCAACUCCCGCGACGGAUGGUAAGCAUACUGCGUGGUGAACCUGAACCUGGAAGGCAAGGAUGGAAGCGGGGGCGCGCGCCGUAGCCCGUAGGUGGUGGCAUGGCAGCGGCGAUGGCGACGGCGACGAUGUGCAGGGGAGGAAGCGUCUGGCACAGUCUUCUCCGCAGGCCCGGGAGCGACCGACGGCGACGCGCCCGUGCCCACCGUGGUGUCGUCGUCGUCGUCGUCGUCUGGCCCGUGAUCGAGGCGGAAUCAUCGGGUCGCCGGGGCCUGCGAAUAAUGCUCGGUUUUGGCGAUUUCCUUCUUGCUCGCCUUGGCAGCCGGACCGGCCCCGGCCCCGGCCCGGCCCGGCCGGCCAGCCUGUGCCCUGUGGUCGAUCGGUGUCAUGUACGCUUACGUUCCGCGCGCGGUGGGGUUUACGGGUUUUGUUGGUAUAUAUUGCCACGCUACGUCGGGCCUCGAUCAAGUUCCCGCACAAGGGGCCAACAUAUGUACCUAGGGAUGAAACCGGAGUGAAAACGAGCGGAACUAGAUGCUAUCAAUUUUUUUUACAAAAGCAAAAAUGAAUACAGAAAUGCCGAAAAAGGGUACUCCCUCUGUAAACUAAUAUAAGAACGUUUAGAUCAUUAAGAUAGUGAUUUAAAUACUCUUAUAUUAGUUUACGGAGAGAGAACUACCGAAAGCAAACACCAAGCGGAUACGGUGCGGAAACGGCAACAGAAACAUGUGCUCACCGGAACUUAAAAACCCCUUGAACCACAGGGGAAAACUCAAGCAAACCAACAUAUUUAAUCGAUUGUUAACAUGACUACAAAAUGUUUUGAUGGUGAUAUGCAUUUUUUGCUUUUUUUCAACUGCGGCAAUACAAACAUAUUUGUGAUAAUCCAAACGAUAACCUUCAUAUAUAAGCAAAACAAUUUGGAUGAAAUUUUCGUCCAGGGCUGUCUGCGCGGCCAUGAACACUGCCAAAAUCACCGCUCCACACCACAAUGCAGCACUGCCAGGAGAUGAUCCGACGUACACCGACUGGAGCAAGGAAAGGCCUCAGAACCAUGCUGCUCUUGGUCUCCUGGCACAUCUGAAAGAGGAGGAACGCCUACGUUUUCGGAGGGAAGCUACCACGACUGGAAGACGUCUGUCAAGCUAUUAUGCUGGACUACGCCCAACAGAGAAUCGCCGGAGCGGCAUGUCUUGAGCCCCCGUUCGGGGUCGAUACCACGAGAUAGCACGCCCAGUGCGCCUUUAGGGUCUCUCUUUUGCGGUCUUCUUUUUCAUUUUUGCUCUCCUUUUUUGCACAACUUCUGUGCCCAUGAUCACUUGAUCCACGCUGUAUUUCCCACAUGCUUAAACCGGAUAUUUCAAAAUAUAUACAUCGUGAUAUUAUUCAUCAUCCAGGAUGCAGAAUAACUGUUCCUCACCCAGAGUGACGAAUAUAUAAACAAAACCUAAUGUAUUAUGGCAUCUCCAGCCGCGCCCCAGGAAGGCCUCCCCAGGCGAUUUUUUCGCACCGGCGCCAAAAAAACGGUCCAGUCGCGCCCCCAGGAGCCCGAUUUUCGCCGGCCUGGGCCGAAAACAGCGCCGGCGGACCCAGGCCGAACCCGGCUCGCUGGGGGGUGCCCCGGGGCGCCGGGGCGAACUGUUUUGGCGCGAAACAGCCACGGGCCCGCCGCGUCAGCGACACGGCGCCUCGUCUUUCCCCAACGGCCUCGGUUCCCGCGGGGAAUCAAUGCCAAGGCUGCCGCCGGUCAGCCUUGCCAUUGAUUCCUCACGGGCGGCGCAUCACGGGACGGCGCGCCGACGCCUCCCCUCCCUCGCACGCGUACACACGGGUGCGGCGCGGCUAUAUAGCCGGUGGCCUGCACUCGCCUGUGCCCACACCAGCCCCGCCCCUCGCCGCCGCCCAGCUCCUCCCUCUCCCUACCUCUCCCGAGCGCCGCCGCUCAGCCCCUCCCUCUAUCUCUCUACCUCUCCCGAGCCCGUCGCCAUGGCGGAACGCUACCCCGGAGACGAGGCGGCGGCCAACGGCUUCGGCAGCCGUUCGCUCCACGAACAGGAGUCCUGGCUCCUCUUCCAGGCGAACAUCCCGGCGCCGCCGGACAUGUGCGCCGGGCCGACGGGGUGGAGGCUCAGCGCCGGGGGAGUGCCCAUUCCCCCGUUGCCCGACGCCGUGGCGAAGCCGACGUACUUCGCCGAGGAAGUCGAGGUCGUGCACGCCUCCCUCACCGACGCCCAACUCUCCCUCCCCCAGUACGCCGCCGACAACCACGCGGCUUGGGCGGCAUAUUUCGAGCGCUGCCAGCAGCAGCGCUUGGCGUCCAUCAACGGCGCGCCGGUGGUUGGCGGCCGGCAGAACAGCGAGGGGCGCCACCUGUGGUGGGGCGUCCCGGGCCGCACACUCGAGGGGGUGCUGACGUACCUCGAGGGCGGCAACGACCCGCCGUUGGCAUACCCAGCGAGGGCGGCCGCCCCGGCGCAGCACCGACGCGCCGGGCCAUGGGCGCCAAGGAGGUUCGGGUCCUCCUCCUCUUCUUCCUCCUCCCGAUCUUCAUCGCACUCCUCCGGCACUCCGGCCCUGCUCGGCGUCAAGGCCAAGCCCGCGGUGGAGACGCCGCUCGGCCGGCGCACCCGCAGCGCCGGCAUCGUCAUCAACGAGGGCGGCCGGCGCGCCUCCUCGUCGGCUCCUCCUCCGCGCUUUGUCAAGCCAAAGACGGAGCCGGGGCUCGCGCCAGUGAAGACGGAGCCGGGGCUCGCGCCGGUGAAGAAGGAGCCGGCCGCGCCGGUGACGACGGAGCUCGACGACGACGAAGUGGCCCUGGAAUGGGCGCGCAGGGACUCCAUAGCGAUGGAGAAGGAGCGCCUGGAGAAGGCGAAGGAGCGCCAGCGUGCCGCCCUGCUUCGCUUCGCGGAACGUCGACGCGGCCGCGACGAAGGCGGGGUCAUCGUCAUCUGCGACAGCGACGACGACGAUGACGAUGCGCCGCCACCAGUCCGCCAUGGCGACGCCGGGCAGGGGUCCAGCAGGGGCGCCCGCGUCAAGGAGGAGAAGGCCGACGACGACGAUGACGGCGACGGCGGCGACUUCAGCCAGUUUUUCCUUUAGAUUAGUUUAUGUAUAUGUGCUAUGUAAUGAAAAUCCGCGAACUUCGCCGAAAUGUGCCGAAAUUUAUCGUGUUUGGCCGAAAUUUAUCGUGUUUGGCCGAAUUUUAUCGUGUUUAAGGCGAACUUCGCCGAACUUCUUUUAUUUUAAAACGUGCCUGGGGGCGGCAUUGGGGCCAGCGGCUGGGGACCAACUCGCCCCCAGGCCUAAUUUUUGCGCCGGCUCACCCCCAGGCGGCGAUUUUAGGCGCUCCCUGGGGGGCCAACGGCUGGAGAUGCCCUUAGGUCACACUCUUACAAGUAAAACACAUUGUAACAUCACAAAACAAUAUGUGAACUGGAGUUUCAGGCCCGGCCUUUGAGGUUACAAUCAGGGUUAACUUUUUUCUAGAGAGAGAGAUCAGGGCAAACUUUCUUGCAUGGUAAUAGAAGUUGGGCCAUACAUAGGCCAUUCCGCUCAUUGUAUAAUUGUGUGAUGUUUGAAGGCUGGACCACAAAGCAGUCAUAGGCUCAUGAGCGCUGCUAUACACACGAUACUGAGUAGCCGAUGUUUGUACGAUUUUAUAGAUCCAGCCGUGCAUGUGUGGCAUAAAGUGGAGGCCGGCCGCUGGAUCAAGCAUCCUCCAGUGUUCGGCUAUUCAGUAUCGUCUGCUCAGUAGUUCCGUAGACCCAUAGUAAAAACGGAAAAUUUUAUAUUCAUGAAAACAAAAUGUUUCAUUUACUCUCGUGUCUACUUCGCUGAAAAACGACGUUCCGUUUUUGUUUUCAUUUUCGCAUAAAAAUAUAUCGUUUUCAUUUCCACGUAAAACAAUAUCAUUUUUAUUGUUUGUUUUGCAAACCUUCACUUUCGCUUUCAUAUUUUCUCUCCGUUUUCAUGUUUUGCCAAGAAAUCAAAAAGUUUCCGCUACGUUUUCAUGUUUUGCCAGAAAAUCAAAUAGUUUCUGCUCCGUUUUCGUCCCUGUACCAACAUGGACGUGUCGCACGGUGCGUACGUGGUCGACCAAGAUCGCGAUGCGUCCACUGGCCGAUCGAUGAUGGAGCGCAGCAGCGUCCAUCCGUUGGAAGCUCACAGAACCGGGUGGUCACCGCGCUGGUCGGCUGCUGUCCCCGCCCUGCCGUGCCCGUGCAGGAGUUGAAUUGUCGAGAGCUUGAGAGAGAUCGUACGCACUCCUACAUGAUUUGCAUGAGAUGAGGCGAGAUAGAUCCCUGCGUAUGGCCCAUACAGGACCUGAGCAGAGCAUAGAUCCACCCAUGCAUCAUCAUAUACCAAGCUCACGCACGGAUGAGAGUAAAUGGCCAUCACAGGACAGAGGNNNNNNNNNNNNNNNNNNNNNNNNNNNNNNNNNNNNNNNNNNNNNNNNNNNNNNNNNNNNNNNNNNNNNNNNNNNNNNNNNNNNNNNNNNNNNNNNNNNNNNNNNNNNNNNNNNNNNNNNNNNNNNNNNNNNNNNNNNNNNNNNNNNNNNNNNNNNNNNNNNNNNNNNNNNNNNNNNNNNNNNNNNNNNNNNNNNNNNNNNNNNNNNNNNNNNNNNNNNNNNNNNNNNNNNNNNNNNNNNNNNNNNNNNNNNNNNNNNNNNNNNNNAAGCGAAGGACACCAUAAUCAUCACUCACACCCAGCAUCUACUUCUCUUCUGGACUCCGAACCGUACGAGGCUGCACAUGCUCAUGAGCCUCUCCUCCGCUCUACUGCCCCACAGCACUGAUGAUGAGGAGCUCCAUCAGCGCAAGAGGAUCAUCAAAUGGAUCGAUCGACCGAUCUCCGUAGCAGCAGGCAAGACAAGAAGAUCUCGGUACCAAUUACUGCAAAUCCUGACAGUUACUGCAUCUUAGUACGGGAGGGAAAGUAGGGACGCCGCACUACCCAUCUCAUCAUCCGGCUGUCUGCCUGUCUGUCUGAUCAUUGGAUCGGAUCAUGGACACCAUCAUCACUGCCUAGGGCCCGUUAUGGUGGUGGUACAAGCAAGAUUCAGGGUUUCAGGUAUGGGAAGCAACAGAGAUGGGUACAACAUCUGCAAAUGAGGCUGGGGUACAAUAUAUAGGUGCUGCAAAUUAUAUAAUUUAAUCUCACAAAACUACGUAAUACACAUAUGUCCAUAUUAACCUGAUUAUCACAUCAACUUUUUCCACCUUUGGACCAAAAAGAGAAACACGCUAGCCAAACCCACUGCCUACGCACACUUCUAGGCCUGCUCUACCAGUCAACCAACCCUAACAAAGCCAGCACAGGUCAAAUGUUGCAGCAGCAAAGAACAACCCAACCCAACCCAGCCCAACCAUACACACUUCUUUGGCCACAAAAAUCAUCUAGACAGCUACAGCGCGGUGGUUAUGUGAAGAACUUCGUCAGCCUCUCGUCCUUGUGAUGGUGAUGCUGCCCUUGCCCCCCUCGGUGUGGAUCUUCGUCUUGUGGACCACGGGCUUCCCGGAGAUGGCCGACGCCUCCUGGUACGGAGCGGACGCCUCGUCGAUCUUGUGCUUGAUCCUGUACGAGGGAGGAGCGAGGAUCUUCUGGUUGAUGUCCCUCAGGGUGGUGGCGCCGUGGAAGCCACACGGCUUGAUGAGCUCGAAUGGGUAGGCCACCGAUGCCACUUUCAGCUUCUUUGCUCUGAUGACGUUUCU
rnacentral:lncRNA from 1 species